rnacentral:lncRNA from 1 species
ACAUAAGCUCGAAGUAAAACAACUACCUGUAGUAGGGUGCCUCUAGCUCUGUCAGUCGGGUAGGGCUCUAACUCGCGACGCCCUUGCCUCGAUCCUGAUCCGCGGAAGGCGCAGCAGCUAAAACCUGUGGCUCUGCAAAACAGGGGUAACAACUGGGCGUGAGAACUACUAUAAAAACAAGUAGUCCUCAGUGGGUGCCGCCCAAAACAACAUCAGUCCACCCACUAAGUCUACAGAAGGGAGCAAGAAUAGUAGUAAAUGCAGGAAUAAAGUCUACCGCUAUCAAACACUACAUUAUCAUGCUCUACACUAACCAACUGUAAAAAAAUGUCCAAUCUGACCCAAUCCAAUCGGGACUGUAAGCAUACCCGUCCCCGGGACUGUGAAUACACCCGUCCCUGCCCCGUUGCGACUAUCGGGCUCUAUCCACACUAACUGGUCCGUAGAGAGCAAGUCCAACUGGCAUGAGCGACACCAACGCGAAAGCACAAAGCCUGACUCCGGAGUGGCACUCGUGGGCGCUACCCAACCGAGUAUGCAGCGUAUCUCUGUCGAGCUCAAACAGGCUCUGAAAAGCCAAAGUCAAGUAACCGACUCAAACUGGUCUAACCACCAACAGGUAAUGUGCCCUCGGCACAAUCUGACGCCAAAAAGGCGAUACGGGUCCACCGUCAACUCUGACGGCACCCACCAGUCGGGAACAACCUGAACGAUCCUGUAAAAAUCCACUCGGCGCACCAGCACGAGCGUAAAUGUAAUCUAAACUACCUGGAGUACUCGUCUCGAAAAUACUGCGACAGUACAAUUUAAUAACGGCUCCUAGAGCUAAAUCAGGCAGUUUAAACGAGUGACAGGUCCAAAUCGCAGGUUUUCUCCUAAUUCAAUUUCCAAGUCCAACAUGUAUAACCUACUUAAUUUAUUACCACAUGCUCCAAAUUCAGAUUUGCAAUCUACGAUAUAAUCCAUGAAUUCGAGCUAGAAUAGAGUAUCCAAAGGUCGAAAAUUAUACAUGCCGACGAAUAUGAACUUAGGAGUAAAAACCGAUGUAACCCACCUCUCAAGCAACUCCUGGCAGCGAAGAAAACGUUAAAUCCGACCAAGCUAACCUUAUCCAAAUUCAGCAAACAAGGGUCCUGAAGCUUUGUCUUGAAGUCACGAAUCCAAUGGCCCAGGUUUCGCUGAAUUCUGACGCUCCUACGCAGAGAACGGGCCAGAAUACGAAACGUCGACGCUGGAACCUGCGAAACAGCAUCUCUGAAAUCUGCUCGGCAAACAACAGCCUAGUAAAACUAGGGUUUGACAGGGCAAACCUGCUCCAAAAAUCGCGAUCUUGGGCUCAGAAUCUUCGUCUCGAAGUCGCGAAUCUAACACGUCAAAUUUCGUCGCGUUUCGACACUCCUACACAGAGAACUAGGUAAAACACGGCGGGUCGAUGCUGGAAUCAGCAAUCAGCACUUCAGAGUCUGCUCGGCAAACAGCAACUCAGUAAAAAGAGAUUUCAACAGAGAAAACCUUCUCCAAAUUGGGCGAGUAAGGAUCCUAUGAAUUCGUCUCGAAGUCCCGGUUCCAACGAACCAAAUCUCGUCGAAAUCCGAUGCUCCUACGUCGCGUACGAGCUGAAAUACUAACAGUCGACGACAAGAUCCUGCGAAUCAGCACUUAAGCUCGAAUUGAAUGAAGCUUGAAGUAGAGAAGAAAUCCAUAGAGGAAUGAGAGAUUACCCACCUCAACCAGCGACUCCAAUUCCGGCACGGCGUCGAGAACGACGAAAACACUCCCUCGCCCGGCCUCCUCGCUAAACUACGGCGACGCACGUAUGCUCGGACGGCUCGGCGACGCGACGUCGGCGACGAACGCUCCACCCAAGCUCCUCCUCCUUGCGUAUGGCUCCAGAGACAGAUAGGGAGGAAAUUUAAUUAAAGAGGUGUUGGUUGCAACCCUCAAUUAAAAUGGAUAAGCAUGCAUGCAUGGGAGGGGGGUACGUGGCAGCAUCCAUAUAUAUAUAUAUAUAUAUAUAUAUAUAUAUAUGAGGAUACUACAUUCUGAGAGCCCAAUUCCCAUGUUCUUUACAACUCAAUAUCUUGCAAAGCACAGUAACAACUGGUUUAUUCUAAUUCUCAGUUAUUUUCAUCUUAGUUUUAUUAAGUCAGUUUCAUUCUGUGGAAUUAAACACAAAUAUUUAGAUCUGACCGUUAGCGGAAGCUUGUCGGGUCUUUGUCGCACACGAUCGAUCCGGAAUUAACGGAGGUUGGAUUACGGACCCGUCAUAAUCGGAGGUCUUGCUAUGAUCAGCUUUGCGGUAGACCUAACUACGAACGAGUUUACGUCUUGAUUCCAUUGUUCAAGAUUCCUUGGAACCCUUGAUGUGAAUGGAGAAUGCGGAUGUAAAUUUUCGUCCACAACCCCUUUGAUGGGAUUUAAUCUUAUACCAACUCUUUAUGUAUCAGGCUCUUAAUGCCAACCGUUGAUGUGAAUGGAAAAGCUGAUUUUCUUUGGAACUAAAAGGACAAAAAAUUUUAAAAAUUUUUUUAUGAAAAAACUAUUUUUUCGAAACUAUUUUUUCACGCUUUUUCGAAAAACCGAAUAACCCCUUAUAAAUAUUAUCUGAAGCUGUUAGGGAGAUAAGUGCCUCAUCUUUCAAUUUUUUAGCAGGACGAAUAUCUGAUCAAGUUUUAGGAUCAAAUCAGGUGAUGCGCACAUUUGAUCCGACCCAUCCAACCAAAUUCUAACUCGUCCAAUCCUGGCUUGACUUGGACUGAAUUUAUCAAAUCUAUUUAGCCUAAUUUCCGUACUACCACAUUAAAUUUGUACCACGUGCUGAGAGUGGAUAGCACAUGUAAAGGGAGCAUAUUGGCUUCCUUUUUGUUCGAAAAUUAUUAGGAACUAAUUAUAUCGGAGAUAGAUAAGUACGAAUAUGAGUUUUUGUAAGAAUAAAAAUAUUUUUUUAUUUAGAUAAAAAUAUGAGAAUAAGAUGGAAUUAGAAAAAUUAUGUUUGGAUGGUUAUUGGGAAUAAGAGGAUUAAUUGUUAGUUAUAAAUAAAAAAUAAUGAUAUUACCCAUAUAAUUGAAUUUAAAUUUUUAAAUUUUAAAUUUAUAAUUUUAAAAUAAAAAUUAAANCCUCUGUCUGUGGGUGAAAAGCAGUGCUGAAAUGUAACUGAGUCCCCAAAGUUGUCUGUAAACUCCUCCAGAAAUGCGACACAAACCUCGGGUUUCGGUCUGAUACAAUCGAUACUGACACGCCGUGCAGCCUGAUGAUCUCAUCAAGGUAUAGCUGCGCGAGUCUCUCUCUGGACCAGAUGGUCUGAACCCGUAAGAAGUGAGCAGACUUGGUCAGUUUGUCCACUAUCACCCAAAUCGCAUCAAAGCCACCCUGCGCUCUAGGCAAUACCACGACAAAGUCCAUCGUAAUCUACUCCCACUUCCACUCGGGCACUGGCAGACUCUGAAGCUUGCCAGCAGGUACCUGAUGCUCGUCCUUCACCUGUUAACAAGUCAAACACUGAGCCACAUAUCUGCCAAUGUCUCUCUUCAUUCCAUUCCACUAAAACUGUGCCUUUAAGUCCUUAUACAUCUUGGUUCCACCUGGGUGUACUGUAUAAGGUGAACAAUGAGCCUCUCUCAAGAUGUCAUCUCGGAUCCCUGAAUCCACCGGCAUACACAGUCGGUUCCUGUACCGCAGUACUCCCGAACUGUCCAAAGAAAACCCUCAGUCUGCCCCUCCGUCUGGCUGCUCUCUAAUCCUGAACAAGUACGGAUCUCCACUCUGUUUCUCUCGGAUCCUAUCCAACAGAGUGGGCUGUAAAACUAGAGACGUCAGCCUCGCCGUAGACCCAGGGGUACUAUCUCGAGUCCCAGCCGCUGUAGCUCCUCGAGUUGGGGUCUCUGCUUAGUGAUCCUCAAACUCAGGCUCUGCACUGCCUUCCUGCUCAACGCAUCUGCCACCACAUUCGCCCUGCCGGGAUGAUACUGAAUACUAAUGUCAUAGUCCUUCAGUAACUCCAACCACCGGCGCUGCCUCAGGUUCAGCUCCCUCUGUGUGAACAGAUACUUGAGACUUUUAUGAUCGGUGAAGACCUCGCAGUGCUCGCCGUACAAGUAAUGCCGCCAGAACUUCAAAGCAAAGACUACCGCUGCAAGCUCCAAAUCAUGCGCAGGGUAAUUCUUCUCAUAAUCCUUUAACUGCCAUGAAGCAUAAGCAAUCACCCUACCAUGCUGCAUCAGCACGCAACCAAGUCCACUGUGCGAUGCAUCACUGUAGAUCACGAAUCCCUAGACUGAUUUUUCGGACUCGUACGCGGCAUUAUGAGUUCACGGAUGCUUUUGGAUUGACGAAUGCCCUGCCGAUUCAUGGUUUUGGAUGAAUAGAGUGUUCAAGCCAUCUUGAUAGGUUUGUGGUAGUCUUCAUCAUGAUAUCCUAAUAUACAUCCCGGGAAUGAUCUGAGCAGAGGAGCACUUCGAGGAUUGUGCUAACAGCUUCUGCGAGCGAGAAAGAAGUUUGUAUACUAAGUUAAAAGAAGUGGCGAGUUCUGGCUACGGGAAGUUGCUUUCUAGCCACGUGAUUUUCAGCUGAGGGCGUUUAGCCAGUGCCAAGAAGAUUGAGGCGAUUCGAGAUUGGCCUAGACCAACGACGGUGACGGAGGUACGGAGCUUCCUGGGACUGGCAGGAUAUUACGUCAGUUUGUGGAAGGCUUUGCGAAGCUUUCCACACCACCCCUCACACGCUUGACGGCGGAAGGGGAUUCGUUUUGUCUUGAGCGACGACUGUCAGAGGAGCUUUGACGAGUUGAGGUUGAGGUUGACGUCGGCUCCUAUCCUUGCCCUUCCGGUGAUGGGGGAUGGAUUCGUGAUCUACAGUGAUGCAUCGCACAGUGGAACUUGUUGCGUUGCUGAUGGCAGCAUGGUAGGGUGAUUGCUUAUGCUUCAUGCAGUUAAAGGAUUAUGAGAAGAAUUACCCUGCUACUGAUUUGGAGCUUGCAGCGGUACUCUUUGCUUUGAAGUCUGGCGGCAUUACUUGUACGGCGAGCACUGCGAGGUCUUCACCGAUCAUAAAAAGUCUCAAGUAUCUGUUCACACAGAGGAGCUGAACCUGAGGAGCGCCGGUGGUUGAGUUACUGAACGACUAUGACAUUAGUAUUCAGUAUCAUCCCGGCAGGGCGAUAUGUGGUGGCAGAUGCGUUGAGCAGGAAGGCAGGUGCAGAGCCUGAGUUUGAGGAUCACUAAGCAGAGACCCAACCAACCGAGGAGCUACAGCGCUGGGACUCGAGAUAGUACCCCUGGGUCUACGGCGAGGCUGACGUCUCAGUUUUACAGCCCACUCUGUUGGAUAGGAUCGAUAGAAACAGAGUGGAGAUCGUACUUGUUCAGGAUUAGAGAGCAGCCAGACGGAGGGGCAGACUGAGGGUUUUCUUUGGACAGUUCGGGAGUACUGCGGUACAGGAACGACGUGUAUGGCCGGUGGAUUCAGGGAUUCCGAGAUGACAUCUUGAGAGAGGCUCAUUGUUCACCUUAUACAGUAACACCCAGGUGGAACCAAGAUGUAUAAGGAACUUAAAGGCACAGUUUUAGUGGAAUGGAAGAAGAGAGAGCAUUGGCAAUAUGAUGCUCAGUGUUUGACUUGUUAACGAGGUGAAGGACGAGCAUCAGGUACCUGCUGGCAAGCUUCAGAGUCUGCCAGUGCCCGAGUGGAAGUGGGAGUAGAUUACGAUGGACUUUUUGUCGGUAUUGGCCUAGAGCGCAGGGUGGCUUUGAUGCGAUUUGGGUGAUAGUGGACAAACUGACCAAGUCUGCUCACUCUUACGGGUUCAGACCAUCUGGUCCAGAGAGAGACUCGCGCAGCUAUACCUUGAUGAGAUCAUCAGGCUGCACGGCGUGUCAGUAUCGAUUGUAUCAGACCGAAACCCGAGGUUUGUGUCGCAUUUCUGGAGGAGUUACAGACAACUUUGGGGACUCAGUUACAUUUCAGCACUGCGCUUUUCACCCACAGACAGAGGGUCAGUCAAGAGCGGACCAUACAGACUCUAGAGGACAUGCUGGAGGGCAUGCGUCCUAGAUUUCUUGGAGGAGGAUGGUAUCGACAUGUGAGACUGGUUGAGUUUGCGUACAACAACAAGCUAUCAAACAAGCAUUCAGAUGGCUCCGUUUGAGGCAUUGUAUGGACGCAGAUGUCGAUCCCCCUGUUUUGGAGUGAUGUGGGUGAGCGGAGGACACUGGACCGGAGAUUUUACUUGAGGCUGAGGAAAAGGUGAGAGUCGUCCGCACACUUCUGACAGCACAGAGCCGACAGAGGAGCUACGCCCGAUAUCAGGAGACGAGACUUAGAGUUUUCAGGUUGAGAUCAUGUUUUCUCAAAGUCUCACCGUCCAGAGGGAUACGCCGUUUUGGGAGUACGUGGAAAGCUUAGUCCACGGUUUGUGGCCCUUUCGAUGUAUUAGAGCGUAUCGGACCGUGUGGCUUACAGGAUAGCUCUACUCCCCCGCACUUGCUGGCACCACGAUGUUUUCCACGUCUCAGCAUUGAGGAGAUACGUUUUCGACCCCUCAUCACGGAUUGACUUCACUCCACUAGAAGAUUGGAGAGGAUCUAAGAUACGAGGAGCGACCGGUGCGGAUUCUUGCUCGUGAGACGAAAAAUUGCGCAACCGGGUCAUCCCGUAUGUAAAGGUGCAGUGGAGUAAUCACGAGGAGAGGGAGGCGACUUGGGAGCCCAAGACGAUGAUGAGGGAGUCCUAUCCCGACCUAUUCGUUGCCCUGUCUUGAGGUAUAUUUUAAGUUUCGAAGGACGAAACUUUUUGUAGUGGGGGAGAAUUAGUAUCCUCAUAUAUAUAUAUAUAUAUAUAUAUAUAUAUUAUAUAUAUAUAUAUAAAUAUAUAUAUAUAUAUAUUAUAUAUAAUAUAAUUAUAUGGAUCUGCCACGUACCCCCCUCCCAUGCAUGCAUGCUUAUCAUUUUAAUUGAGGUUGCAACCAACACCUCUUUAUUAAAUUCCUCCCUAUCUGUCUCUGGAGCCAUACGCAAGGAGGAGGAGCUUGGGUGGACCGUUCGUCGCCGACGUCGCGCGCGGAGCCGUCGAGCAUACUGCGUCGCCGUAGUUUAGCAAGGAGGCCGGGAGGGAGUGUUUUCGUCGGUCUCGACGCCGUGCCGGAAUUGGAGUCGCUGGUUGAGGUGGGUAAUCUAUCUCUCAUUCCUCUAUGGAUUUCUUCUCUACUUCAAGCUUCAUUUCAAUUCGAGCUUAAGUGCUGAUUCGCAGGAUCUUGUCGUCGACUGUUAGUAUUUCAGCUCGUACGCGACGUAGGAGCAUCGGAUUUCGACGAGAUUUGUUCGUUGGAACGGGACUUCGAGACGAAUUCAUAGGAUCCUUACUCCCAAUUUGGAGAAGUUUUCUCUGUGAAAUCUCUUUUUACUGAGUUGCUGUUUGCCGAGCAGACUCUGAAGUGCUGAUUGCUGAUUCCAGCAUCGACCCCGUGUUUUACUAGUUCUCUGUGUAGGAGUGUCGAACGCGACGAAAUUUGACGUGUUAGAUUCGCGACUUCGAGACGAAGAUUCUGAGCCCAAAGAUGCGAUUUUUGGAGGCAGUUUGCCCUGUCAAACCCUAGUUUUACUAGGCAUGUUGUUGCCGAGCAGAUUUCAGAGAUGCUGUUUCGCAGGUUCCAGCGUCGACGUUUCGUAUUCUGGGCCGUUCUCUGGUAGGAGCUAGAAUUCAGCGAAACCUGGGCCAUUGAUGCGUGACUCAAGACAAAGCUCAGGACCCUUGUUUGCUGAAUUUGGAUAAGGUUAGCUUGGUCGAAUUUACGUUUUUCUUCGCUGCCAGGAGUUGCUUGAGAGGUGGGUUACAUCGGUUUUUACUCCUAAGUUCAUAUUCGUCGGCAUGUAUAAUUCUUCGACCUUUGGAUACUCUAUUCUAGCUUCGAAUUCAUGGAUUUAAUCGUAGAUUGCAAAUCUGAAUUUGGAGCAUGUGGUAAUAAUUAAGUAGGUUAUACAUGUUGGACUUGGAAAUUGAAUUAGGAGAAAACCUGCGAUUUGGACCUGUCACUCGUUUAAACUGCCUGAUUUUAGCUCUAGGAGCCGUUAUUAAAUGUACUGUCGCAGUAUUUUCGAGACGAGUACUCCAGGUAGUUUAGAUUACAUUUACGCUCGUGCUGGUGCGCCGAGUGGAUUUUUACAGGAUCGUUCAGGUUGUUGCCGACUGGUGGGUGCCGUCGAGAGUACGUGGACCCGUAUCGCCUUUUUGGGCGUCAGAUGUGCCGAGGGCACAUUACCUGUUGGUGGUUAGACCAGUUUGAGUCGGUUACUUGACUUUGGCUUUUCAGAGCCUGUUGAGCUCGACAGAGAUACGCUGCAUACUCGGUGGGUAGCGCCCACGAGUGCCACUCCGGAUCAGGCUUUGUGCUUUCGCGUUGGGUGGUCGCUCAUGCCAUUGGAGACUUGCUCUCUACGGACCAGUUAGUGUGGAUAGAGCCCGAUAGUCGCAACGGGGCAGGGACGGGUGUAUUCACAGUCCCGGGGACGGGUAUGCUUACAGUCCCGAUUGGAUUGGGUUCAGAUUGGACAUUUUUUUCAGUUGUUAGUGUAGAGCAUGAUAAUGUAGUGUUUGAUAGCGGUAGACUUUUAUUCCUGCAUUUACUACUAUUCUUGCUCUCCUCUGUAGACUUAGUGGGUGGACUGAUGUUGUUUUGGGCGGCACCCACUGAGGACUACUUGUUUUUAUAGUAGUUCUCACGCCCAGUUGUUACCCCUGUUUUGCAGAGCCACAGGUUUUAGCUGCUGCGCCUUCCGCGGAUCAGGAUCGAUGCAAGGGCGUCGCGAGUUAGAGCCUACCCGACUGACAGAGCUAGAGGCACCCUACUACAGGUAGUUGUUUUACUUCGAGCAUUAAGUACAUAGUACUUAACUAGCCAGUGCGAGUAACGGCUGUAUUUUGGAUUCUGAACUAUAUAUAUGAAGCUCUGUUGGUGUACUUUUGUUUACUCGAGCAGCUCAAUACUACUGUUUGUAUAUAUAUGAUUGCAGGUACUAUGUCGCUUCGUAUACAGGGGAAUUUCCUUUGUAUACGGCGGAUUUGUCGCAUGCCGGGGAACGUGACAUCCGGGGCGUGACAGUUAAAACUGAUCUAGGGUAUUUAAAGUUUUUAGAAAUAAAAUUUAUAUUUUUUCGACAUAGUUUACUUUAUAAUUAAAAUAUUUCAAAAUUGUCAAUUUAUCAAUGUCUAUUAUGAUGAAUUUGGAGUUUAACGUGUAGAAGAAUCUAAAUUUCUUCAAAUUUGAUAGAAAAUACUUUAACUAUAUAGAUUAAGGUUAACAUUCUUGAUCUUGAAUUUAAAAGUCUAGGCUCAAAUUUUAAAAGUAUUCAAUUCCCACCGUUCCAUUUUGACAUAAUUUAUUUACUAAGUAAACGAUAUCGAAAAGAACUAAAAUUUUAUUCCUAAGAACUUCAUAUACCCUAAAUCAUAUUUAACGUAUGGGAUCGUAUGAUUGAACGCUCUAAGAUCGAAAACAACACUAUAUGUAUGGGAGUCCCGUACUAUAGAUAGUAUAUGUAGCCAAUUCAAAUUUUUAUUAAUCAUAUUAUUAAUAAAAUUUAAUAAUUUAAUAAUUUUUGUACAACUUUUUUACCCUGUAUAUAAAAAUUUAAUAAUUUUUGUAUAUGAUAUUUUUUAUCUAUAUACUAUGAUGUCGGUGGAGCAAACAUGGGUUUGCCGCACCCGUUAUUUUAGAUUUGGAUCAGAUCAGACUCGUACGGCGCAGCACUUUUGGCUCAUCGGUAAAAAAUUAAUAAAUUAAAAAAAUAAUAACACCAUUAAUCCGAUCCCGCGCUCGUGAAAAAUUUACGGAAAAACCCCCACCCUUUUUGCGCCCAAGUCUCGCACGUGCGCUCCCUCAAGAAAGGCACGUGCGAAACUCGCCCCGACUGCGUUUUCACUCCCCCACAUCUCAUUAUUUACCGCACUCGACCACCGAUGCUGGUUACUAUAAAAGGCGCUUCUCCCCCAAUCGCAAGGAUAUCGUUCUCUCCUCUCUCCUCUCUCUCUCUCUCAAUCUCCGUCGCGGUGCUUCCCCUAAUUCGCUUCUCUCUCUCUCUCUCUCUCGUGGAGCUCUCGACCGGUCGAUCGCGAGCAAGAAGAGGCGGGGCGAAGGUCGGCUGUUGAUUGGANNNNNNNNNNNNNNNNNNNNNNNNNAGUGACCCGAGAAGAUUGAGGCGAUUCGAGAUUGGCCUAGACCAACGACGGUGACGGAGGUACGGAGCUUCCUGGGACUGGCAGGAUAUUACGUCAGUUUGUGGAAGGCUUUGCGAAGCUUUCCACACCCCUCACACGCUUGACGGGAAGGGGAUUCGUUUUGUCUUGAGCGACGACUGUAGAGGAGCUUUAGACGAGUUGAGACUUUGAGGUUGCGUCGGCUCCUAUCCUUGCCCUUCCAGGUGAUGGGGAUGUCUUGGGAACAUCCUCGGCCCUCACCCUCAACUGGUGGUAACCUGACUGGAGAUCAAUCUUCGAGAAGACAUAAGAUCCCUGCAGCUGAUCAAACAAAUCAUCAAUGCGCGGCAAGGGAUACUUAUUCUUGAUGGUCACUUUAUUCAGCUCCCGGUAAUCUACACAUAACCUGAGCGAACCAUCCUUCUUCUUAACAAAUAACACUGGCGCUCCCCAAGGCGACACACUGGGUCUCACAUAUCCCUUGUCCAUCAAAUCCUGAAGCUGCGCCUUUAGCUCUCUCAGCUCAGCCGGCGCCAUCCGAUAAGGUACCUUUGAGAUUGGUGUAGUUCCAGGAACUACAUCAAUCACAAACUCAAUCUCCCUCUCCGGCGGCAAUGUCGUCAACUCAAGGGGAAAUACAUCCGGAAACUCGCGGACUACUGGAAUAUCCUCGAGUCCCGGUGCCGUCGUAGGUACCUCCACAACUGUCGCUAAGAAAGCAAUACACCCGCUACUCAGCAUCUGUCGAGCCCUCGCCGAAGAAAUCCAUGGAGGAAUGAGAGAUUACCCAUGGAUCAUUGAUUUGAACGCCCGAAAAUCGAAAACAACACUAUAGUACGGGAGCUCCCGUACUAUAGAUAGUAUAGUAGCCGGACUCUAAAAAAUUUAUAUAUAAAAAUUAAUAGAUUUUUAUAUACGGUAUAAAAAAAAUUGUAUACCGAGCAUAUAAGACAUGAACCAAACUUUUUUAAAAAAUAAGUAUCGCGAUCAAUCCUAUUUUUUUAAUAGUAUACGAUAUGAACAAACCUUUUUUAAAAAAAAUGUUGUGCACGAAAUAUAAAAGAUACGAACCAAACCUUCUAUUUUUUAAUUUAAUAAUAUAAUUGAUAAAAAAAUUACAUACGAAAAUUAAUAGAUUUUUAUAUACGGUGUAAAAAAAAUUGUACACCGAGCAUAUAAUACAUUUUUUUAAAAUAAUUAUUGCAUAGAUUAAUCCUAUUUUUUAAUAGUAUCUUUUUUUUUUAAUAUUAUAAGACGUGAACCAAACCUUUUUUUAAAAUAAUUAUCGUAUGGACAAACCUUAUUUUUUAAUAGUCAAUAUAACAAAAUUAAAAUUUUAUCUAUUAAAUACAAUCUAUAAUUAAUAAAUAUUUUUGCUGUAUCGUAUGAACCAACCCUAUUUUUUAAUAGUAUAAUUAAUAAAAAAAUCCCAUACAAAAAUUAAUAGAUUUUUAUAUACGGUGAAAAAAAAAUUGUAUACCGAGUAUGUAAGAUAUGAACCAAACUUUUUUUAAAAAUAAUUAUCGCAUGGAUCAACCCUAUUUUUUAAUAGCAUAAUACAUAAACCAAAACUUUUUUAAAAUUAAUUAUCUCAUGAACCAACACUAUUUUUUAAUAGUUACUAUAACAAAAUUAAAAAUUUCAUCUAAUAAAUACAAUUUAUAAUUAAUAAAAAACUAAUAUAAUUUAAUUGUAUUUAAUAUUGUAAAAUUUCUAAAAUGAAUGUGCUUUAUAUAAAGUUAGCGCGAAAUAUUGUAUCUAAUUUGUCGGGAUAUAUUUUCUACUUCGUAUAUUACUAUAUAUUUUUAUAUACUCAUAAAAUUAUACAUAUCUAAAUAAAUAAAUAUUGUGCAAAUUAAUUAAAAUAUUUUUUUCUCGCAGCAUUGCGCGGGCCCUUAGCUAGUAUAUCAUAAAUUCAAAACACAUGCACCUACUACAAUAUAGUUAGAAAGCAUGCAUAAUAAGUUCAAAAUCUUAUAAUGAAAUAAACGAAGCGGGUAGCGUGCUACUUAUCUCUCAAAAAAAAAAAAGAAAAAAAAAGUUCAAAAUCUUAUAAUGAAAAGAUGAGUAUCAAGGUUUUUUUUCUCUUUGGUUUCAGUUGACGGUCAGAUAUUUUACCGAGUCGGUGUCAAGAUUCGAAUAUGAAAACUAUCUCAGACCCUACCCACCAAAGGGUCAGGUCCAGAUCAGGUCCGAGUGGGUAUGAUUAUGAAGUAUUCAAAUCUAUACCGGAUGCAUACCAAAAAUAUAAUAAUAAUAGAAGUGGUGUUGGGUAGGUGGAACCAGUUGUAUCAGUUGGCUUGAUCGACCAGACUACACACUAGAUCGACCGUCCGAUUGAUCUAAGCUGAGUCCAGAUUGCUAGAUCGGGGAUCUGCUCCAACGGUGCUCAAUAGUGGCUUGAUCUGAUUUUUCAAGUUCAAAACUACAACAUUCACAAAACAAAAAACCUUCCCUAUUCCAUUUCUAAGUCAUAAAAUUUUCCACUUAGGGUGUGUUUGGAUCCCUGUUAAAUUCCUUCGAAAAAAAAUUUUCGGUGGAAAAUUUGUUUUUCCUUGUAUGGUUGUCUGUAAAAAUUUUUUUGGAAAAGUUAUUUUACAGAUUUCUAGGAAAAAUUCAGCUUUUCGUUUUCCGCUUGCCGUCCGCGGAAAACGAAAAGCUACAGGAAAAUAUCGCGGCGUUUGGCGCGAAGGGGAGCAACGGGAUGACGCGGUCCACAAGACCACUUUGGCCUCGUAGACCGCGUCGGAGGGAGGUCCACAGCAGCCCUUGUGUUUCUAAUUUUCUAAUCACCCAUCAAGUUUGAUGGGUGGUUAGAAUGAGAGAGGGAGAAAAUAUUGGGGAGAAAUUGGGUAUUUCAAUUUCUCUUCUUAUUAAAUUUCUCUUUAAUAUCUCCUCUGUCUCUCUCAUUCUAACCACCAAUCAAACUUGAUGGGUGGUUAAAAAGUUAGGAGUAUAAGGGCUGUUGUGCUCCUAAUAGCACAGUAGUCCUGCUCUAUAUAUAUAUAUACUAGCUGAGUGUACGUGCAAAUACACGUAACAAUUAUUUUAAUUUAUUUUAAAUCAAUAUAAAUUUGCACAUUAUAUUUAUUUAAAAAUUUAUUAAUUUAUUAAUUCAUAUGUUAUAUUUUAUUAGAAAAUAUUUGUAAUAUUCUAUAUUUUUUUACAUAUAUUAAAUAUUUAUAUAUAUUUUUUGAUUUCUGAUGAUCUAAAAUUUAAAUAUGUGUUUUAAACAAAAAGCAUCAAAAUUUAAUUCAUAUUUAUUUCAAAAUUUAAAAUUUAAUUUUUAUCCACUAUAAUUAAAAUUUUGGAUAAGAAUGCUAUUUUAUUAGCAAAUUAUCAUUUGAAAUCCACUAUCAUCACAUUUCUCACACACUUUUUCAUAUGUCCAAAUCAAGGCUUAUAUAUAGAGUGAAAAGUAAUGAGCAGUGUCUUUUCAAAUAUGAAAAAAAGCAAAUUAUCUUUUGAAAUCAAAUAACUACCUUUAUUAUGAAAGUAUGUGUCCUUUUAUUAGCAACUAAAAUUUUGAAUUAAUUAAAUAAAUAUUUCUGCAUUCAGACCUUUAUUAAUUUUGCAUGAGAAAGACAAGUUGAGAUGACGAUGAUGGCACAGAGUGGAAACAAAGAAGAAGAAAGAACGGAGGACGGGAAGAGAGGGAGAUUAAAAUUAUAGUGGAAGAUAGGGCGGAGGAUUUAAUUCAUUUUUUUAAAAAAUUAAUUUCAAUUGUAAAAAAUAGUAAAAGUAUAUGAAAAUCCUACCAACUGUCAUGAAAUUAUUAAAAUAAAUUAACAAUUUGAUCCAAAAGUGACGUAAGAUUAUUGAGAGAAAACUAAAACUAACAUAACAAAUAAUUCUUUAACUCGAAAAGGCACGACAAUAAAUAUUCAUAAACGAAAUCAACUUUUGAACAUUUAUUUUCAAAGUAAAUGCAUUAUAAUAAUGUUAUUAAAGUAUGAAUAAUCUUGAUAUAUUGUCACGCCCCGGAUUACACUUUCCCCGGGCACGCCGACAAAUCCGCCGUAUACAAAGGAAUUUCCCCUGUAUACGAAGCGUUAGCUGUACCUGUAAAUCAAACACUACUACGAACAGUAGUAGAGAGCUGCUAGAGAAAACAGAAGCUAAACAAACUGAGUUUCAUAUACAUAGUCCAUAUCCAAAAUACAAAGCUACUCGCACUGGCGAGUUAAGUCCACUAUGUACAUAAACUCGAAACAAAACAUCUACCUGCAGUAGGGUGCCUCUAACUCUGCACGUCGGGUAGGGCUCUAACUCGCGACGCCCUUGCCUCGAUCCUGAUCCGCGGAAGGCGCAGUAGCCGAAACCUGUGGCUCUGCAAAACAUAGGUAACAACUGGGCGUGAGAACUACUGUAAAAACAAGUAGUCCUCAGUGGGUACCGCCCAAAACGACAUCGGUCACCCACUAAGUCUACAGAAGGGAGCAAGGAUAGAAGGAAAAGCAGGAAGUACACUCUAUCGCUAUCAUCCACUACACUAUCAUGCUCUACAUUAACCGACUGUAGGAAAUGUCAAAUCUGACCCAAUCCAAUUGGGACUGUAAACAUACCCGUCCCUGGGACUGUGAACACACCCGUCCCUGCCCCGUUGCGACUAUCAGGCUCUAUCCACACUAGCUGGUCCGUGGAGAGCAAGUCCAACUGGCAUGAGCGACACCAACGCAAAAGCACCGCGCCCGCCUCCGGAGUGGCACUCGUGGGAGCUACCCAACCGAGUAUGCAGCGUAUCUCUGUCGAGCUCAAACAGGCUCUCUAACUCAAGCCGAAGUCCAGUAACAACUCUGACUAGUCUAAAUACAACAAACAACGUGCCCUCGGCACAAUCCGACGCCAAAACGGCGAACCGGGCCCACCGUCAGUCCCGACGGCGCCCACUAGUACGAAACAGUCUAAACGACCUCAGAAAAAUUCACUCGGCAUACCAGCACGAGCGUAAAUGUAUUCUAAACUACCUGGAGUACUCGUCUACAGUAUGCUGCGACAGUACAAUUCUAUAACGGCUCCUAGAGCUAAAUCAGGCAGUUUAAUACAUAUGUCGAUUCCAAUCGCGUUUUCUCCUAAGUUUAAACCCAGUCCAACAUGUAUAUUUAAAAGGUAAUAAUCAUGUUAUAUAUGCAGCAUUUAUCCAGGAUAUCAUUAUGAAAAACGAACUACAACAUGAUUUACCGAACAGAAAAUCAUACAUGUCGACUAUUACUACACUUAGGAAUAAACCGAUGUAAACCCACCUUAGUCGCUAAUUCUGGCAGCAAAACACCCUCACAGCUGCAGCACCACCUGCUGGUCGAUCUACACCCUCCAAAUCCGGGAGUCGAGCUAACACCACGCUCUACAAAGCACAAAUCACCGUUUCAGUCCCAAAAUUCGCAACAGUCAGGUACAGCACGGAUUCGACCAAUCUAACCUCAACGAAAUCUGGCAAGUAAGGGCUUCGUGGAUUCCUCUCGAAGUCCUGAAUCCAGCGAAUCAAGCCUCGUCGAAAUCCGACGCUCCUACGUCGAGUACGAGCCGAAACGCCAACGGUCGACGCUGGAAAUCUGCAGGGACAGCAACUAGCUCGAAAUUGAAAAAGCUUGGAAAUUAGGAAGCAAUUCUAUGGAACACCCACCUCGACGGCGACUAGCACUGGCGCGACGUCAAGAACGGCGAAGAUCCACGCUCGCCCGGCCUCCUCACGAUGCAACGGCAGCAACCGUAGGUUCGAACGGCUCUGCGGUGCGACGUCGACGGCGAAAUCGGCUCCGCGGCGGCGUCCCUCGCGUGCUUCCUUGGUACGGCCGAACGAAAGAGAAAAGGAGAGAAGAGAGGAGAUAAACUCCUCUCUCUCUCUUCCCUGCAUGCAUAAAAGAGGGGGGGGAGGUGAUGCCACAUGGCAUUACACAUACUCACACAUGUGCACUCACACACACACACACACGUACCCUCACACACACACUUAUAUAUAUAUACUAAGUGUAGGGAUACUAGUAUACUACAUCCUCCCCCACUACAAAAAGUUUCGUCCGCGAAACUGAACGUACCUCUACUCAAGCAUCAAACAAGUAGGGAUAGGCUUCCCUCAUCACCGUCUCAGACUCCCAAGUCGCCUCCCGCUCAUCAUGAUUACUCCACUGCACUUUCACAUACGGGAUGACCCGGUUGCGCAAUUCUUUCGUCUCCCGAGCAAGAAUCCGCAACGGUCGCUCCUCGUAUCUCAGAUCCUCGCCAAUCUCAAGUGGAGUGAAGUCAAUCACGUGAGAGGGAUCGAAAACGUAUCUCCUCAAUGCUGAGACGUGGAAAACAUCAUGGAUGCCAGCAAGUCGCGGGGGUAGAGCUAUCCUGUAAGCCACCGGUCCGAUACGCUCCAAUACCUCGAAAGGGCCAACAAACCGUGGACUAAGCUUUCCACGUACUCCAAAUCUGCGUAUCCCUCGGGACGGCGAGACUUUGAGGAAAACAUGAUCUCCAACCUGAAACUCCAAGUCUCGUCUCCUGGUAUCGGCGUAGCUCCUCUGUCGGCUCUGUGCUGUCAAAAGGUGUCGUCGAACGACUCUCACCUUUUCCUCAGCCUCAAGUAGAAUCUCCGGUCCAAGUGUCCUCCGCUCACCCACAUCACUCCAAAACAGGGGGGAUCGACAUCUGCGUCCAUACAACGCCUCAAACGGAGCCAUCUGAAUGCUCGUUUGAUAGCUGUUGUUGUACGCAAACUCAACCAGUCUCACAUGUCGAUACCACCCUCCUCCAAAAUCCAGGACGCAUGCCCUCAGCAUGUCCUCUAGAGUCUGUAUGGUCCGCUCUGACUGACCAUCUGUCUGUGGGUGGAACGCCGUGCUAAAAUGCAGCUGUGUACCCAAGGCUGUCUGCAAACUCCUCCAAAACUGGGAUACAAACCUCGGGUCUCUGUCUGAUACAAUCGACACUGGCACGCCGUGCAGCCUAACAAUCUCAUCCAAGUAUAGCUGCGCAAGUCUCUCCCUGGACCAGGUAGUCUGAACCGGUAGGAAGUGAGCAGACUUGGUCAGUCUGUCCACUAUCACCCAAAUCGCGUCGUAGCCACCCUGCGCUCUAGGCAAUCCAACGACGAAGUCCAUCGUGAUGUGCUCCCACUUCCACUCGGGAACUGGCAGACUCUGAAGCUUGCCAGCAGGCACCUGAUGCUCGGCCUUCACCUGUUGGCAAGUCAAACACUGAGCCACAUAUCUGCCAAUGUCCCGCUUCAUUCCAGGCCACCAGAAUCGUGCCUUAAGAUCCUUAUACAUCUUGGUUCCCCCAGGAUGAACCGUAUAAGGGGAACAAUGAGCCUCUCUCAGAAUAUCCGCUCGAAUCUCCGGAUCCACAGGCACACACAGUCGGUCCCUGUACCGUAGUACUCCCGAACUGUCCAAAGCAAAACCCUCAGCCUGCCCCCUGUCUAGCUGCUCUCUAAUCCUCAACAAGUACGGAUCUCCACUCUGUUUCUCUCGGAUCCUAUCCAACAGAGUGGGCUGUAAAACUAGAGACGUCAGCCUCGCCGUAGACCCAGGGGGUACUAUCUCGAGUCCCAGCCGCUGUAGCUCCUCGAGUAGGGGUCUCUGCUCAGUAAUCCUCAAACUCAGGCUCUGCACUGACUUCCUGCUCAACGCAUCUGCCACCACAUUCGCCCUGCCGGGAUGAUACUGAAUACUAAUGUCAUAGUCCUUCAGUAACUCCAACCACCGGCGCUGCCUCAGAUUCAGCUCCCUCUGUGUGAACAGAUACUUGAGACUUUGAUGAUCGGUGAAAACCUCGCAGUGCUCGCCGUACAAGUAAUGCCGCCAGAGCUUCAAAGCAAAAACCACCGCGGCAAGCUCCAAGUCAUGCGUAGGGUAAUUCUUCUCAUAAUCCUUUAACUGCCGUGAAGCAUAAGCAAUCACCCUACCAUGCUGCAUCAGCACGCAACCAAGUCCACUGUGCGAUGCAUCACUGUAGAUCACAAAUCCUUCGCCCAUAACAGGAAGGGCAAGGAUAGGAGCCGACAUCAACCUCAAUCUCAACUCGUCAAAGCUCCUCUGACAGUCGUCGCUCCAGACAAAACGAAUCCCCUUCCGCGUCAAGCGUGUGAGGGGUGUGGAAAGCUUCGCAAAGCCUUCCACAAACCGACGGUAAUAUCCUGCCAGUCCCAGGAAGCUCCGUACCUCAGUAACCGUCGUCGGUCUAGGCCAAUCUCGAAUCGCCUCAAUCUUCUUCGGGUCCACUGCUACGCCCUCAGCUGAAAUCACGUGGCCCAAGAAAGCAACCUCCCGUAGCCAGAACUCGCACUUCUUUAACUUGGCAUACAACUUCUUCUCGCGCAGAAGCUGUAGCACAAUCCUCAAGUGCUCCUCAUGCUCAGCAUCACUCCGGGAGUAAAUCAGGAUAUCGUCGAUGAAGACUACCACAAACCUAUCCAAGAACGGCUUGAACACUCUGUUCAUCAAAUCCAUGAAUGCGGCAGGGGCAUUCGUCAAUCCAAAAGGCAUCACCGUGAACUCAUAAUGCCCGUACCGAGUCCGAAAAGCCGUCUUGGGAACAUCCUCGGCCCUCACCCUCAGCUGGUGGUAACCUGACUGGAGAUCAAUCUUCGAAAAGACACAAGAUCCUUGCAGCUGAUCGAAUAGAUCAUCAAUGCGCGGCAGAGGAUACUUGUUCUUGAUGGUCACUUUAUUCAGCUCCCGGUAAUCCACACAUAACCUGAGCGAACCAUCCUUCUUCUUUACAAAUAACACCGGCGCUCCCCAAGGCGACACACUGGGUCUCACAAACCCUCUAUCCAUCAGAUCCUGAAGUUGCGCCUUUAGCUCUCUCAGCUCUGCCGGUGCCAUCCUGUAAGGUACCUUUGAGAUUGGUGCAGUUCCAGGAACUACAUCAAUCACAAACUCAAUCUCCCUCUCCGGCGGCAAUGUCGUCAACUCAGGGGGAAACACAUCCGAAAACUCGCGGACUACUGGGAUGUCCUCGAGUCUCGGCGCCGCCGUAGGUACCUCCACAACUGUCGCUAGGAAAGCGAUACACCCACUGCUCAGCAUCUGUCGAGCCCUCGCCGAAGAUAUCCAGGUGGCAAACAGCGUGCUCCUGCAGCCUCUGAAAGUAAACUCCUCCUGGCCUGGCUCGCGGAACGUCACCGUCCUCGCUCCACAGUCGAUCGUAGCAUAGUACCGCGCCAGCCAAUCCAUACCGAGCACUACGUCGAAGUCCUGCAGCUGCCCUAACACCAACAGGUCUGCGGGCAUGAUCCAAGAGUCUAACUGCACCGGACAGGACCAACAACACUCUGUAACCUGCAAGACAUGGUCGGGGAUCUGCACCUCUCGUGCCUGAGACAACGCUCCUAACUCUAGACCAUGCAACAAUGCAAAUGCUCGGCUAACAAAGGAAUGCGAUGCACCGGUAUCAAAAAGAGUGCGAACUCUAAUGCCAGAAAUCAAAGUGAUACCUGCCACCACUCGGUCGGCUGCUGAAGAGUCCUCCACCUGAGCUGCAUAGACCCUGCCACUCGGAGCCUGCUGUCGCCGCUCACUCGACCGCGGCACAGACGAUCUGUCCUCCUGGCGGUAGCUCGGUGCUGCUCCGUAAGACUGCUGUGGUGCUGGUGGUGCCGAAGCUGAUGACGGUGCUGGAGAUGCUGCUCGGGGACAAGCUGCCCUCAUGUGUCCCGGCUGACCACAUCCGUAGCACCUGCCCUCUCUCUGCUCGCACUGCCGAGGCCAGUGUGGUCCCCCGCAGAUCACACACUGUGGCGUCCUCUGAGUCUGCCCCUGCUGACGGGAUCCCCUGGAACGCUGACGCCCCGAAGACCCACGACCCUGAGAACGUGAUCGUGGAGGUCUCGGCGGACGUCUGCUGCUCGACUGCCCUCCGUCAUCUGGAAAGGGGCGCUUCCUGUCCUGACCCUGCCCCACGGCCUGAGUCCUCUCCUGCAGCGACACCUCACCUCUCUCCACCCAUAGGGCCUGCUCUAUGGACGCAUCCAGGGUCCUCGACCUCUGCGCCCGCACUAACCUGAAGAUGUCCGGUCUCAGCCCCUGCUCGAACAUGUAUACUCUGUGCGCCUCGUCUCUGGCCGCAAAUGGUACACAGUUCAGGAGUCGAGUAAACUCCCGAACGUACUCCUGCACUGGGCGAUCUCCCUGCUGAAGCCUCCUCAAAUCCUCCUCGAGCUUCUGCUUCACACUGUUGGGAAAGAACAUCCCAAACAGCAUUCCACAGAACUCGUCCCAACUCAGCUGCGCCGCCACUAGCCCCUGGUCUCGCCUCGUCCUCCGCCACCAGUCAUGAGCAUCACCUGCUAGACAGUGUACUCCCAGGGGUACCUGCUCCCCCUCUGGAACGAACAGAUCCUCGAAUAACUUCUCCAUCGCACUGACCCAUCCCUCAACAAUCCAGGCCUCAGUGCCUCUGCCAUCGAAGAUCGGUGGAUCAAAUCGGCGAAAACGAGCUAACCUCUCCGUCCACCGCUCCUGCUCGGCCUCAGUCAACGGUACUGGCCCCCUAGCAGGCGCAACUGGCGCUACUGGAACUGCUGCCGAUGGAGGAACUGCUGCAGCUGGUGCUGUCACUGGAGUAGUCGGGGGUGGAACUGGCGACUCUGGUGCCCUCGGUACAGAACUCGGUGGCUGAGCUAUCCUCUCACACAACCUCUGCAAUAGCUCCCCCUGCUGUCUCGUCACCUCGGUCAGGGCAGCUAACUGUGCACUCAGAUCAGGGGGUGCGCUAGUCUCUGGUCGCGCACUCGGCUCCACAACAGGGGGUACACUCGCCCCCAGUCUGUCACCCUGCUCCUGCCGAGUACUCUGCUCCAUCUGCUCAGAUCUCUCAGAAGGUCCAGCAUGAUCCCGCGCCAACUGGGCGCGCUCCCGCAACGACGGUCGACCCCGGCGACGAUACAUAGCUGAAAGGAACAAUUCGGGGUCAGAUACAACAAAACACUCUCGACCCAAUCAAACGAAAGUCUAGAAGGCGGUCCCUGUUUCCCUCCAAAAUUAUGUCGUCUGCAGCCAACAUAAUUUCUCAGGCCGAAACAGAAACUCCUUCAGUCACUCACUCUGCUCUAAGAGGAGUUAGAACAAAUAAUCAUUGACUUUCGCAAUAAAAUUACGCCUCUCACGUCUUGCUUCCCUAAGGUUUGCCAAACUUAGGUUUCCUAGGUCCCCACGACCUACAGCAAAGCUCUGAUACCAACUUAAUCUGUCACGCCCCGGAUUACACUUUCCCCGGGCACGCCGACAAAUCCGCCGUAUACAAAGGAAUUUUCCCUGUAUACGAAGCGAUAGCUGUACCUGUAAAUCAAACACUACUACGAACAGUAGUAGAGAGCUGCUAGAGAAAACAGAAGCUAAACAAACUGAGUUUCAUAUACAUAGUCCAAAUCCAAAAUACAAAGCUACUCGCACUGGCGAGUUAAGUCCACUAUGUACAUAAACUCGAAACAAAACAUCUACCUGCAGUAGGGGCACCUCUAGCUCAGCACGUCGGGUAGGGCUCUAACUCGCGACGCCCUUACCUCGAUCCUGAUCCGCGGAAGGCGCAGCAGCCGAAACCUGUGGCUCUGCAAAACGGGGGUAACAACUGGGCGUGAGAACUACUAUAAAAACAAGUAGUCCUCAGUGGGUACCGCCCAAAACAACAUCGGUCCACCCACUAAGUCUACAGGAGGGAGCAAGAAUAGUAGGAAAAGCAGGAAACAAACUCAACCGCUACAAAUCACUAUACUAUCAUGCUCUACACUAACCAACUGUAGGAAAUGUCAAAUCUGACCCAAUCCAAUCGGGACUGUAGACAUACCCGUCCCUGGGACUGUGAACACACCCGUCCCUGCCCCGUUGCGACUAUCGGGCUCUAUCCACACUAACUGGUCCGUGGAGAGCAAGUCCAACUGGCAUGAGCGACACCAACGCAAAAGCACAAGCCUGACUCCGGAGUGGCACUCGUGGGCGCUACCCAACCGAGUAUGCAGCGUAUCUCUGUCGAGCUCAAUCAGGCUCCAACUAGCCAAAGUCAAGUAAUCGACUUAAACUGGUCUAACAACCAACAGGUAACGUGCCCUCGGCACAAUCUGACGCCAAAAAGGCGAUACGGUCCACCGUCAACUCUGACGGCACCCAACAGUCCGAAACGGCCUGAACGACCCUGCAAAAAUUCACUCGGCGAACCAGCACGAGUGUAAAUACAUUCUAAACUACCCAAGGUAUCCAUUGCACUGACUCGGCAACGAUACAAUCGAACACGGCUCCUAGAGCUAAAUCUGGUAGUUUAAGCAUAUGACGGGUCAAAACGCAGGUUUUCUCCUAAGUCAAAUUUCAAGUCCAACAUGUAUAAUUUAAAUAUUCAUUUCAGCAUGCUUCUACAUUCAUAUUACAUUCAAAAUGCUAAUCGAUGAAUUAAAGCAUGAUUUACAACACUCGAACUAUACACGUUGACUAACAUGCACUUAGGAGCGAAACCGAUGAAACACCCACCUCUAAUGCAAUUCCUGGCAGCAAUAGGGUCUCGGAUCCUCAAGCAACACUGCUGGAAACCUCUUCAAACCAGCAACAAAGCCCCUUAAGAUCUGGAUUUACAAUGCACCCAAAAAUCCAAUAAAAAUCAUCAAAAUCCACAAUUCAGUCCAAGUACACAGCAGCAGAGAAGAGAAGGGUUUCGACCAAGCUAACCUUCACCAAAAUCCACAAGUAAGGACUUCGUGGAUUCUUCUCGCAGUCCCGAAACCAACGAAUCAAGUCUCGACGAAAUCCGAUGCUCCUACGUCGAGUACGAGCUGAAAUACUAACAGUCGACGAUGAAUUUCAGCAAAACAGCAUUUAAGCUUAAAUAUCUCAAUUCCAAUGUCAAAACUCACCAAACGAACUCCAAAUCAGGUGGAGAGGGUCCCAAUUCCAGUACUGGGUGAUAGGGAAAAUAACUCAACUCCACAAAGCCCCUGCUUCCCAAGUUCACCCCAAGAAAACAUCAAAAAUUGGCAAAUUCUGUCCAAAGCAACAACAGCAGAGGAAAACCUGAGUUCGACUGAGCUAACCUUCACCAAAUUCUGCAAAUUAGGGCUUCGUGGAUUCCUCUGGAAGUCAAGAAUCCAGCAAACCAAGUUUCGUUGAAAUCCGACCUUCCUACGUCACGCACGAGCCAAAACACUGGAGGUCGUCGCUGAAGAACUGCAAAAUCAGCACCUUGCAAUUCUUGGAGAGGUGGAUCUUGAUGCAAAUUGGAAAGAUUUGAGGGAUUUGGGAGUAAAAUCUAAGUCCUCUGUGAAGAACAGGUAAAAGAGCUCAAAGGGGGCGCUUCUCAGCUAUUUAUAGGCUGCUGGAUAGAUCAGAUAAGCCCCAGGAAAAAUAGCCGCAAUCCAGUGCCCCUGCAGAAACGGGCGUUUCUGGGCGCCCGGAAACAUGUUCUGGGCGACCAGAACAUCCGGCCUGCACAAAAUGGGCCCCUCGGACUCUCCGCCCGCGGUGUGCUGCGCCCGUAAAUGGCACCGGCGGAACUCACCUACCGCCCUGCCACGCGUCGAAGCAAGCGAUAUUCACGAGGUGAAAUUUCCGGACCCACUUCUGGGCGCCCGGAACAUGGGAUCCGAAUUGGCUUCCAGUUUCAGUUAAAAUCAACACUCGUUUCUGGGCGACCCUAACAAUGUUCUGGGCGCCCGAAUCUGGCAAAACUCCAGUUUUGCUUAUUUGAGUGCGCCGAGUCCAAUUCUGCAUCCAAUUCGUGCAGAAUUGACUUCGACUCAGUCCGACACUCUCCAGAGAUGUCGACCAGUCUAUAAUACUGAAGCCAAUCCUAUCCAAAGCUCAGGAACACUACAUAUAUUAACUAUAAACAAAUAUAUUUGGUGGGUUUUCCUCACCCCCUCCUACCAAGGGUAUCUUGGUAAUUUAUUAUUAGUUGAAUAUUAAAAAUAAAUUUAUAUAAUUAAAUUAUAAAUAAUUAUGUAAAAUUUUAAAACUUAAUAUAAUUAGAUGAACACCCUACUAUCAACAAGAAUUAAAAUUUCUUAUUAGGCCUCAAAACUUUUCAAAAAAAAUUUACAGUAUAACAAAAUUUUUCAAAAUUUUUUAAGAAAAAGUAGUACUUUUUCUCUUUCCAUAACAAAAUUCAUUUAUUCGCAAAAUUUAAAAAACUUAUAGUCAACUAAUUAUUAUCUAGAUAUUAAUUAUAAUGUUAUAUAAUUAACUUAUAAAUAACUAUAAUGUUGAAAAUUAUUUUAAAUUAGAGCAAUUCUUAUUUUUAAUUUAAAUUCUCCAUAUCAUUUUAAAAAAUAUUUAAAAUUUUAAAAAAUACUAAACUUCAAUUAGUGUCUUAAUUAUAUAACCUUCAAUUACACUUUUGUACCAACAAAAUUUUAAAUUAAAAUGACGAAUUAUGAUGAUGAAGGUGAAAAAAAUACAGUGCAGCAGAAUUAAUUUAUGAAAACUAUUAAAACAAAGUUUAAAUAUGCAAAAUCAUAAAAUAGAUAAUAUUAUUUGUUGAAUUGUUUGAAGUUCUCUUUUUCCAACCAAAAAUGCAUUUAUUUAGAAAAUAAAAAAUAUUAAGUCACCUAAUUAUUAUCUAGAUAUUCAUUAUAAUGUUGUAUAAUUAAAUUAUAAAUAACAAUAAUGUAGAAAGCAAUUUUUUUUUAUUUUGUAGGUUCGUAUUUGAUUCGUAGUUUUAGUUGAUUUGACUAACCUAAAUCCUUUUCUCCAAUAAACAAAAAAACAAUCCCGAAAAGACCUUUGGAAUUCCCAAAAAAAAAGACUUUUGAAAUUUUCAAAAUUGCUUCGUUUUUUAUGCAUGACUUUUGGAUGACCGUGCUGUGUUGAAAACGAAAAGAUAAUAAUUUAUUAUCAUAGGGCUCUCAACACUAUAAAUACAUGGUUCUUGAAGUCUUAAGAGAUAAUUUUAGAUAUCUUUUAAUGCGUUGCACUUCUAACAGAUCACCAUCUUCUGUCAAACAAUUUUGUGAGAAAAUUUAACAACUGUGGAAGGUGACAUUAUCAAAAAGGUGAUUCAAGAUAGGCCUAUUUUAAUUGCAACUUCCCUGAAUGUACAAAACUUCAAAGGUAAAAAAUUUUAUAUAAUCAAAUAUGUGCUUCUGAUAUCAUAUUUUGCAAUCAUAAUAUUUAAGUUUUGAAUUUUUUCUCUAAUCAUCAGGCAUUUCACUUUCUACAACAUCAAAUACAAUGCUCAAAAUUAAUCCAUCAACAAAGGAAGCAAAGGAUUUAAGAGAAUGGUAAAUAUAAACGCAAUAUAUGAAUAAUUAACAUGUAUAUUAGUUACUAUUUAUUUCUUUGAAUGUAUAUUGUAGGAUUUCAAAAAGCUUAUUUAACACUGAUGAAAUGAACAAAAUACGAAAUAUGACGAAUACGGCCAAAAUGAAAAAUGAAAGAGCUACUAUUAAGGAGAUUACUGGAGAUCUUGUUAAUGCAUCUAAAUAGGUAUAUUGUUCUUUUAUUUGUAUACCAAAAAAUUAAAUUUUGAUGAUAUAUUAUUUCCAGUUAUGAGAGUUAAAAAUACAAGUGGUGGAGUUAAACAAAAAGCAAGAUCCUUGGUACAUGGCUUGUAAGGAAUUCUACAAGAAAAUUAUAGAAAUUAGUAGUGUUCAACAGUGCAAAUUCUGUCCCAAUUCAGAUACUGAUAUUGAAUAUAAGUAAUAUUAGCAAUAUUAUUUUCUUAUAUGUUAAAGUUAAAUAAAAAUCUAAGUGCUUGUUAAGUUUUUACAGGUUUAUGUUUCGUCUAAAAGUUGCUGAUGAUACUGGCGAGCUUUGAGUAUCAAUGUUUUAAAAGGAAGUGGGGCAAUUAUUGAAUUGCAACGUUAAUGAACUUCGGCAAUUAAAGGUACCACGUGUAUUAUAAUAAUACAAAAAAUAAUUUAAUAAAUUUACUUAUUAUUUGUCAUUCAAUUUUGCAGGAAUAUAAUAUUGACCAAUUUGUGAGGAAAUUAGAAAGUUGCUUGAAAAAAUCAUACUUACUAACUAUAUAUUAAAGUUGUAGAGGCCAAAAGAGGUGAGGUAAUUACUUACAACUACACAGGCAUAUCAAUUGAGGAACUUGAUGGACAAGAAGAUGAAUCAAUCGGAAACAAAAAUUUCCCUCAAAGUCAUAUUCAACAUGAUAUUCUUAAAGAUAAUGAAGAAACUAAAUCAACAAGAAGUCAGAAUUUUUCUCAAAAUUAUAUUCAGCGAAAAAUUCUUGAAGACGAUGAAGAAGCUUUAGUGAUGAAUAUUACCGAGUCAAAGUUUUCUCGCCUUCGGAAAAAAAAGAUGAUCAUCGAUGACGAAGACUAAGACAAUGGAAUUAGAAAGAACUUAACUCUUCUUUAUUUACUUCAUUUUGUUUCCGACUAUUGUCAUAUAUGGAUUCAUGCUUUUAUUUUGCUAUAUUAUCUAUCCAUAAUACUUCGUAUAUUUUGUUUAUGCUUCAUAAUAUUUAAUACUUUUCUUUAAUUUGAUCCUACUAUUUAAAUAUAUUAUUUAUUCAUUAAUUUGUUAAUAAUUUUAAUUAUAUUAGAAAGAAUAAUACGUGCAUCGCACGUGCACUGCCUAGUGUAUUGUACAAAAGUCCAUACCUUAUUUUUGGUAUCCAAAUUGACCAAUAUUUAAUGAGAUUUUGAUUUUAUCCUUUUAAUAUUAGUGUUUUUUUUUUGCAAUUAGCUCCCUAAAAAAAAUUUAUUUUAAAGCAAAUUUAAAUUUACAAAAAUGGCACUGGCCCUGCCACGUAAGCGCCACGUCAAUGCCAUGCGGGCGGGGCUGGGCCAGAUAGUUAAGUUAAACACGGUGAAUCAUUCACCGUGUUUAGAUACGGUGAAUGGUUCACCGUGUCUGAAGAAAGGGAAGGGAAAGGAAAAAUAUACGUAUUAUGAAAAAGAUAAGUAGGAAAAACGGUGAACCAUUCACCGUGUUUGAACAAGAUGAAUGGUUCACUGUGUUCAACUAACCGCCCAACCCACCCGCGUGGCGCUGAUGUGGCACCUGCGUGGCAAGGUUAAGGCCAUUUUUGCAAAUUUAAAUUUUCUGAGACUAUUUUUAAAAUAAAUUUUUUUUAGGAGGCUAGUUGCAAAAAAAAACCCUUAAUAUUAAUAUGUUUUGAUUUAGGUUAUUUCAGUGAGUCCUAUCAAAUUUUAAGGCUCUAACUACCAUUUAAAUAAAAGAAAAUAUUUCUUAUAGAUAAAUAUUGACCAAUAGUUAAUAGAGAUACUGAUUUUAAUAAAAGCUUUUAAUUUAAUUGUCUAAAAUAACUCAAAUCUAUAAGAAUCUAUAAAUUGACAGUUUUUUCAUGCCUAGGUGUUGUGUUCUAUAAAUUGACUGUUCUUCCAUACCUACGUAUCGCAUUCUCGCUUCUUCCAUACCUACAUCUAUCUAUAAGAAUCUAUAAAUCCAUAUCUACAUAUCGCGUUCUCACUUUUUUGGCACCAUUCAUACUUCCUCUCUCUAUCAUCUUCCUCCCUCUCUCUAUUAUCUUUCUACCUCUCUCUUUUUUGUCUCUCAUGCAGCGUUUCUAUAAGAAUUUAUAAAUCGACAGUUCUUUCAUGCUUACGUGUCGCGUUCUCGCUUCCCCUGGCACCAUUCAUACUCUCUCUCUCUUUAUUAUCUUCCACCAUCUCUCUAUAAUAUCUUCCUCACUCUCUCUAUUAUCUUCCUCUCUCUCUAUUAUUUUUCUCCUCUCUCUCUAUUGCCUCUCGCGCUACAACCAUAUCCUAUUCUCUCUCUCUCUCUAAGCUAUCCACAAUAAUCAUUUUUUCUUGUACCAACAAUAAUUACCUUCUCCCUACUACUUUAUCCCUAUCCAUAAUAAUUAUUUCUCUACGUACUUUCCUUAUUAUAUCUCUAACCCUAUCCACAAUAAUUAUCUCAUUUCUUUCUUUACUAUAUUUAGCUGUCUAUAAUAUAUCUUACAAAAUUUACCAAACUAAAAUAGGGCAUUCACACCACAUCCAACUCAAAACCGGCACCCCCUCUUCUCCAAUGGUUUGUUUUUCUCUUUCUCAACCCCACCCCGCCCUACGGCGUGCUUGCUGCUGUCCUCACCAUGUUUCGCUUCUGCUUUUAUGAUGCCGGCACGUGCUACAUCAAAAAAGAGGCUAGAGGUUGCGCAAAACUUUUUACAUUUAUUUUUUUUCCACCAAACUAAAUAAAUGUGAAUUUUUUUCUUUCAACCAAACAAAUGUUGAUGAAAAUUUUUUUUUCUUACGUUUCAAACUCUAUAAAAUAUAUAUAUUUUUUCCAUUAAAAUUUUUUCACAAAAACUAUUUUUUAUGAUUUUAUGUCCAACCAAACACCCUCUUAGGUGCUUUUUUUUUUAAGAAUUAGUUAUUUGCUGAUAAUUAUUCCUACUUAAUUAUUUAUCUGAGAGUAUCCUAUUUAUAUUAGAAUAAGUAUUAUUAUUUAUGUUUAAAUAUCAAAAUUUAUGUUUUCUUUCGAUGUGCACUUUUACUAAUCAAAAUAAAUUGUGACACCCUACUUUUUCAAGAGGUCAUCCAUCAUAGAACUACUCUAGCUCUCUAAUUUCUUAGGCCUAGCUACCGCCCAACAUACUAUAGCCGAGUUAGAAGGUUUAGUUUUAUUAUAUCGCUCCUUCACUAGUUAAAAUAAAUUGUAACACCCCACUUUUCAAGAGAUCAUCCAUUCUACAACUACUCUAACCCUCUAAAUCUUUUGGGCCCAGUGAACGCCCAAUAUGCUAUAACCGAGUUCGAAAGUUUAGUUCUAUUAUAUUUUAUAUGUAAGACUAUUUGAUAUUCUUGGAAUAUCACAUUCCUCCCUCAAAAGAAAAAAUUUAGGGUUCGCUUUCAGAAUAUGAGAUAGUUGAGGGGUCUUCGUACAUGUUUACCAAACCAAAACUAAAAAAACAAAAGAGAAGGAUCUUUUUGCAAAAAUGAGAGAGAGAGAGAGAGAGAGAGGCGAAGGGUGGAGGAGCAAAAAGUGGUGCGUGUGUGAGAGGCCGCAUUUGCGAUCGCAACGACGGAGAGAGGCGCAGCGCGAUGGACGCGAAAUCCCGCGACGCUCCGCCGCCUCCGCCGCCCCGCCAAGAGGAAAUCCUCCUCCUCCUCCUCCGCCGCCUCCGCCGCCGCCGCCGCCGCCCUCUUCUCCCCCUCCUCCUCCUUCUUUUCCUCCACCCCCUCCAAGCGCGUCGCCAAGGAGCGAAACCCUAUCCUCCACCACCACCUCCUCCCCCCGACCCACAACGGUCCCCUCACCCGCGCCCGCCAAUCCCCCAACAAGCUCGGCUCCGCAGCCACACCGCAUAGGCCACCGCCCCCGGAUCUGGCGGCGCCGCCAUCGUCGGAGCCGCUCGUGGACGCGGAGUUCGAUGCCGUCCGAUCUCGCGGCGCCGGUGUUCAUGUCGUCCCCACUUUCGCCGGUAAGUGCUCGGAUUUUGAUUCACGCUUCUUUCUAUUUUUGAACUUGUAAUUUCUUUAGGCUCUAGGGUUUUCCAUUUGUUUUGCUGUUAGUACGAACAAAAGGUUUGGUGCUAAGUCGUUCUCAAUUUUACGUGCACUAAAGAAGAGAUUCUAACAUGCUCAGGAUGGUUUUCAUGGAGCGCAAUCCACCCAAUUGAGAAGCAAACCCUAGCUUCAUUUUUCAACGGGAAAUCCGAGAAACGGACACCUGAGAUUUACCUUGAAAUAAGGAAUUCCAUCAUGCAAAAGUUUCACGCCGACCCGAAUGUUCAGGUGGAACUGAAAGACUUCUCCGAGCUAUCCGUAGGUGAUGCGGAUGCCAAGCAAGAAGCCUUUGAGUUCUUGGAUCACUGGGGUUUGAUAAAUUUCCACCCUUUCCCGCCGUCCGGGACCAACGACAGCAAAUCCGACGGUGAUAAUGGGGAUGAUAAGAUGUCCUCGAUAGUUGGUAAGCUUUAUCAAUUUGACACGGUUCAAUCGUAUAUUAAUUCGGCUCAUAAGAAAGCAGAGCCCACUAUGCCGGCUCCACCACCUAGCUUGAUCUCCGAGACAGCCCUAGCUGAUGCUUUGGUUAUUACGCUCGAGCCUUCGGUUGAGUAUCACUGCAAUUCCUGCUCAGCUGAUUGCUCACGCAAGCGCUACCAUUGCCAAACGCAGGUGAGCUCUUUAAUGGUUCUUAUGUUCACUUUUGAAGAGGAACUUGUUUGCUAGAUUAGAAUAUUGACUCUUUAGAAACUCCAGAAUCGAGCUUAGUUUUGUACAAAACUGGUUGGCCCUGUUCUGUUUGAAUUUUUUUAAGUGAUCGAAUGGAUUUCUGAUAUACAGGUUUAUAAUCAAAUAGUGUCCAUGAAGUUCUGUAUCUUUAUGCUGUCAAACUUACUGUGCUACCUAGGGUUAUUACUGUUGUCUAUAUACAUCUUAUUUUGAGAUAACUAAUUGUAAGUUUGAAAUGAUUUAAAUGUGCAUGCACUUCAGCAUAUCACUUGGUGAUUUAAAUCUUCUUCUAUGCUUCUAUAUAACUUGUCGUAGUCAUAAAUUUUAAUUUCAUGUUAAAGUAAGUAAAAUGUUGAAUAUAAACUGAUUGUACUUAAAAAGAAAAAAGAAAAAUAUGGAUUAAUAUGCCAGACUUCUUAAAGUGUUAUUUCUUCUUUCUGAAAAGAUUCAGUAUUGUAGAAAUCUUAAGACAUUGUAACAACAUGGUUAAACUUUAUUGGAUGAUCUUUCAAAAACUACAGAUUUUAUUGUUGUUACGAUUGGUAUUACACUAAUUGGAUGGAGAUACCUCAUUCGGUAUUGCUUGGACAGUCUUAUUCUUUGAUGAAAACAAGUACUGAAGAACGUGGUAGAAUAAGUGGUUAACGUAUUCUCUGCAAAUAUCUUCCUAUGUCACUUUGCGUACGUAUAUCUUCCCGCUGUGAUCCUGUUUUAAAAAGUUUGAGAGAAGUUUGGAGCUUCUUUUGGGGCCUAGAAGCUCAUUUUAGCUUCCCUCUAUGGCUGAAGUUUUAGAGUUUUUGUUUGCCAAAUGUGUGGUAAUGUUUCUCGGGGUAGAGAAGAUAUUAUAAAAGUCGUGUGAUAUAGGAACUUGGCAGAGAAGGUUCAGUAAUAGUUUCUUAUGCUGUUUUCUGUUAAUUUCUCAGGCAGGUUUUGAUUUAUGUAUCAAUUUCUCAGGCAGAUUUUGAUCUAUGUAUCGACUGCUUCAACGAAAGGAAGUUCGAUCCAGGCAUGUCACCAGCUGAUUUUAUUCUUAUGGGACCUGCAGAGGCUCCUGGUGCUAGUGGUGCUAACUGGACUGAUCAGGAGACCCUGCUUCUUCUGGAAGCCCUUGAACUAUUUGGAGAGAAUUGGAGCGAGAUCGCUGAGCAUGUUGCCACAAAAACCAAAGUCCAGUGUAUGCUACACUUUCUGCAAAUGCCCAUUGAAGACUCCUUUUUGGAUGGCGAUGAUGAAAUUAAUGAAUCUAUUCAAGAAAAAGCAGAAACCACUUCUGCUGAUAAAGAGUUGGCUUCUACAACUGUUCCUGAGAAAAUGGAAGUUGAAAACCAAGUAGAAGAAAAAGAAAAAGAAGAAGAAGAAAAAAAAGAAAAAGACAGCGAAGAUGAAAAAGAAUCUUCAGAUGUGAAAAUGUCUGAAAAGAUAGAAGGCGAAAAUACUGGAGGAAAAGAAUCGGAUGCUAUUAAUCUUCCUGACAAUAAGGAUGUCGAAAACUCAGGAAAAGCAGAUUUGCCUAUCAAAUCCGACACAGAUGAUACAGAGAAGAAAAAUACGGAUAAUAUUUCUAGUGAAAGUGCUUCUGACAGUGCUGUUGAUGCAUUAAAGUUAGCAUUUCAGGCUGUUGGUUUCUUUUCUGAAAACGGAGAGUUGGGUUCAUUUGCAGAAGCAGGAAACCCCGUGAUGGCCUUGGUAAGUAAAGUCAGUUUGACGAAGACCCUAUUUGUAUUUGGUCUCGCUGGAGUUCUACAAGUGCUGUUUGAGUAGAGCUAUAUGGAAAUGCACUAAACUGUUCAAUUCAUCAAAAUUUCUUUGAUAGCUUCCCUUUGUAGCACAAGUGGAAGCUUCAAACUGGAUUCUUGGUCUUGGGGUUCAGAAGGUCUUCUUCAGCUUUCCGACAUAGCAAUAGCUCCAAACUUUUUGUAUGGUGCGACACUUGGCUGUUGCUUGUUAGAGUAGAGAAGCUAUUCCAAACUCGAGCCAAAUGGGCUUGAGAUGCAGCUACCUUCGAAGUGGUUUUGCAUUGAUUGUAAACUUGCUUAGUUUUCUUUGCUUUGCAGGCAGCUUUUUUAGUAGCUCUAGUGGAACAUGAUAAUGCCAUUACUUCAUGUCGUAGUUCACUAAAAGCCAUUUCAGAGGAAUCUCCUGCUAUCCAACUAGCUACAAGACAUUGCUUUAUUCUUGAAGAUCCACCUGGUGAUAUGAAGAGGUUUAUAGUCUUUCUGCUUAUAAUUGCUGUCUCACUUGAUAACACCGUUGCAGUUUGUGCUGUUCUUUUUUCGUAAAAAAAUUUCUUCUUAUUAAUUCAAUUAAAUUUACAGCAAAAUUGCAAGCAAGGGUGCUGAGUGUCAAAAAGAUGAAGAUCAAACACUAAGUUUGAAUGGCACUGAUAAAUUGAAGGACAGCAAAGAACAGAGUGAGGAGAAUGCUCUUUCUCUUGAGAAGAAAAUGGAUCCAUCUGCGUUAACAAAGGGUGAACUGAAGCUGCCAGAUGAGAAGGUAUUGGGUAAUGAAGGCCCUUUGUCGGAGGCAGCAGUGAACAACAUUAGAAGUUCUGGUGAUCAGAAGGAUGCUACUGAUGCCAAUUUACCAGCAGUUCCUCCAACAAAUAAUACAAAAGAAUCGGUUGUUUUAGAUUCACGAGAAGCUGCUGAAAGUGUGGAGAAGAAGAUGAAUGACUUGAAGUCGGUAGGAGAGGAGAAACCACUUAAUGUAAAGGUGGGCGAUUUAGAUUCACAGGACAAGGGCGAGAUAGAUACAUUAAAGAGUAAAGAUACUGGAGCUGCGCCGGCUGCCAAUGGGGAACAAGAGUCCAAGCAAACAAGUGAACCAGGUUCUACAUUACAAAAGAGGGAGGAGGCUGGUAAGUGUCUUCAGCUUCCUAUCUCCAGCUUUGUAUGGCCAAUUAAUGGAAUUUCUAUUAUAGAUUUCUGUUUUCUCAGGCAAUCAUGUUGCAGUUCUAUAUUUGAAGUUACAUAAGUGAGUUAUUUUUUAUUGAUUGGCAAACAAGUGCUUAGUAAUAACCUUGAAGUUACGUAUAGCAAAAUUUAUACAUGCGUUUUUCAUUUAUGUAUUCAUGAUUAUGUCUCAUAGUUCAGAUAACAAAGGCAUAUAGUAUUGUAUCAUGUUUUUAUAAACUUUAAUCCAAUACUUGCUGACUUGUUUUGUAAAUCAUUUUCUACACUGUUAACCAUGUGAGAACUACGAAUGAACUGUUCGAAACUUUCAACCUAGUUUAUGCUUAGGAUUGGCUCAUGCAUCUUUCGUGAGAUGUGCUUGGUUCCUUUUCAUGACGUUGGCUUAAGGGAUUCAUUUAUAAGAUGUUAAGGUGAAAGCUCUGGCAUGAAGGCUGUUAGGAUCUUUCGAUCUCCUCAUGGAGGUCUCUUCUUUUCAAAGGGAAGGAGUGCCUUCUAUCCCUUCUUCAAGGGGGAGGGUUUCUAAAGAAAAAUAGUAGAACCAUACUAGUGGCUGUUCCUUAUGGCUUAAUAUUCUCCCAGCUCAAUACAAAAGAGAGAAAGAAUGUGCCUGUUUGUUGAUCACACUGCAUGACGAGUUCCUAUCCUAAUACAACUCCGCAUGGAACCACGUGGCAUAAUAAAAUUUAUAAAAGCUAUGGAUCAGUUAAGCAGAACUCUUGGGUUUGAAAAAUUUACGAUCAGGCAGCUGAUCUUGUCAACUUCCCUGUAGUCAGGCCGGUUUAAAGUGAGGUGGUUUGUGCCAAACCCCGUGUCUUGAAGCUCGCCUUGUCUCAAAGGUGUCUUCUGAUGGUAUUCCUUGUUAAGAUUCCAUGAUGAUUUCGUCCUCAAUUAAUUGUAUAAAUUAGAGGACUGGCAGUCGCUUUAGAGUGAUGUUAUCGUAGAGGUAAUGCAAUUCUAAUAUGGGUUUGAGAUUUAUGUGUUUUUGAUUACCAUUGGUCUCUUAAAAUGAAUCUGCUGUAGUGGAAGUGGUAAUUUCUCAAUCAAAGCGAAUCCUUAAACUUGAUCUGAUUCAGCAUCUCUUAUUCUUUUGAUUCAGAAUCAUCUUUUGUUUUGAACUCUGCUUUUUCACUACUACUUUGCAUUAUCAUUUCUGGUUGUGAUGUGGGGUUGACAAGUUUGUAUAGUAAAAGGCUUGCGGUGGUCUCUUUGGGAUUGCAUGAUAAAGUAGAGAAAAAUACUAAUUGUGUUGAAUAUGCACGAUCCGGACCUAAGUAUUUACCCAUCAAAAUUUGGAACAGUCCAAUUGAGCAGAUGCUUCUAGUGGUUGACUUGUCUGCCUAUUUCUCGAUUGAUUGAAAAUUUUCCUGCUUUUCACUUGUAUACCUUCGUAAAACUAAAUUUUCUAUAUAUAAUAUGAAAAGUGCAAGUUCCUAGAAAAACACCUUUAACUUUGGUUGGGCAGUCAUCCAUCCAGUUCACGAGAUGACGUUGGUCUUGAAUUGGAGAAUGAAAAUUCGAAAAAAGCAAUAUUUCUGUCAGUUCAAAGGGAUAUAUGUAAGAAACUAAGUUUUUGAUGGUACACAAGUAAGAAACUAAGUUUCUGAAGGGCAUAUAUGAAUAUUCAGAUCUCGCAACUGUAUAUAUGUACUUUUAUAUCUGUAUAUAUGUAAAUAGUUCUUUCCUUUAUGUGGAUAUUGUUUUAGCUUUACUGAAUUUAUUAUCAGUUAUAAUGUUUGUGGCAUGCAACUCUUAGGAUUCUGCUUCUUUUGCUGAAAACAGCUGGACCAUUCAUGUUACUGAGGAGUCGCCCAUAUUUGCUUUUUUUUUUUUUUUUUUUUUUUUUUUUUUUUUUCUUUCUUGGUUUCCUUUAUCUUGCAGGUGAGGGAGAUAAAAAAGAAGUCGCAUCCACUGAUGACAAGAGUGCCAACUUGGAUUCAAGCCAUGGUAAUUAUGCUCUAAUUAGGUUAAAACGUGCUGCAGCUACUGCUCUUUCGGCGGCUGCAGUGAAUUCUAAGCUUCUUGCAAAGCAGGAGGAGGAACAGAUCCAGCAACUUGUCUUAUCAAUUAUAGAAAAACAGGUAUUUUAGCAAUACGUUGAAUCGAUGAUGAAUCACUCUAAUUCAAGGAUAUCAUGGGAUUUUAAACAACUGAGAUAAAUGGGAGUCAGAUUUAUCUUACGAUAAAACUUCUCUGUUUAGGGAGAGGAGUUGGGGUAAAUUGCACCAUAGCUCCUUUUACAAUCAUUUCAGUUUGGUCCUCAGCCUUUUAUAAAAAGCAAUUGGGUCCUUGAACUUCUUAAUUUUUUGCAAUUGUACCAUUUUGGCUGAAUUCCUCCAUCAAAAUGGAUAGAAAUAUACAUGUAAUUGUCAUCUUAACAUAAGCGAUUUUUGAAUUUCUCAUAUCGCGAUUAUGUGGGCAUUUCCAUCCAGUCUAUGGAAUUUGAUGAACAGGGUAAGGGUGCAACGGAAUUUAUCUGAUUGCAGCAUAUGAAAGGUUGAGGACCAAACCGGUACCUCCUAAAAAGGUUGCAGCACAAUCCCCCUCGACCGUAGGCCAUUUUGAAAUCGACCUCUCAACCUUAUUUCUUUUUUUCCAUUUACACCUUUUCAACUGUUGCUUAUUUGGAUCUGUGUUUGAUCUGUUGAUUCGAUUAUUUGUUAAAUUCAACAGUUGUCAACUGUUAACUAUUAAUAGAACAAAUCAGCUACAAUUUCGUUGCUAAAAGACAGGCAAAUUUGUUACAUUUAGGGCAAUUGGUGUUAAUUUAACCCUAUACUCAAUUCAAUUACUGGAAAUAACUCAAAUUAAAGAGACAGUGCCAAUCGAAAAGUAGAAAAAAAGUUGAGAACUUCCCUUCAGAUAUAACCUAGGGAUCUCCUUACAUUUUAUCUUCUUUUUUUUUUGUGGCAAUUAGCUAAAGGCAUACUACUACUGUUAAUGGCUGUGUUAUAUGUGCAGUUUCAUAAAUUGGAGUCUAAAUUGGCACUCUUUGCGGAUCUUGAAAACAUAAUCCUGAGAAUAAGGGAACAAACAGAAAGAACUAAACAAAGACUUCUUCACGAACGCUCGCAAAUAAUUGCUGCUCGACUGGGUCUGCCUGCGCCAUCUUUUAGACCUAACCCAACUUCUGUACCGCCGGGCAGAUAUCCAGCAGGCUAUGGGAUGCCAAGCACAAAUUCAUUAAACGUGGUCGCUCAAAAACCGCCUGCUAUGAGAAGGCCAUGAAGUAUGUCUUUUUUCUAAGUACAUUGAAGCUCAGCACUUUGUAAAGUAUUGCUGAUGAUAUCAUAUUGCUCACAUAGUAAGUAGUUCUUAAUCGCUGAUUUGGUUGAUAACAUAUACGGAUAGCUAACUCUUGCUUUUUACUUGACUAACGCGUUAAAAAUUUUCAGGAGUCAGCAUCAUCAUUCUUAAGUGAAGGUUUUGUGCUGAUAUGCACUGUGCUGCCUAUGAACUAAAAUGUUCUUAUUGUUAGUUUGAAGGAUUCUUGUUUUUGCCCCUUGUACAUGACUCAGAAGCAAAUUCACCGAGCUAGAAUGUUGUUUUACAGUGGGUAAGCCAUUUCACCAUGUAAGCAUUGGUCCUUUUUAAUGAAAAUCCAUUUAGGCUCCAUGAGCUCUAUUUUAGUAAGAAUUGAUUGCAUAAACUCAAUUUAUAGGUCCCAUGAUAUCUCUACUUUUUUUCAAUUCUUUAAUGUCUUAGUUGUUGCUGUUAUACUGACAGUUUUUCUAUACUCAACUUCAGCUGCAAGCUCCAAAAGAUGCUUGCCUACUUCUAUUUUUAUUUAUUUUACUUUUGAGAGGGGAACCUUUUUUUUUUUUGGUUGGGGCCGCAUUUGUGGUGGGGGGGGGGGUGGUCAUAAUUAUAUAUAUUCAAUCCAAUCAUCUAUUUACAGUUUUAUAUUUACAUAUAUACCUUUUUAUGUGCUUACAAAAAUAUCUUUAGUGGGGAGUCCAAUUUAUGGACGGAAGUUGGAUUAAAUGAGCUUUUCUAACAAGGGUUGUUCUGAGGUGCAAGGGUGUCUCAGAAACUAUGUUUUUUGGUGGGCAUCUUUGUAAACCCAGAUCUAACAGGGUAUGCAUGUAAAUGGAUAAUUUUUCUGGGGCAUAUAUAGAAAUAUCACCUUUUCUUCUCUAGUUCAGUUGAGCAUUUGACUCCGUAGUGAAGUGAAUCAGUGAUUGCGAGGAUUAUUUUCUUCUUUAGCAAUAUCUUGUUUACUGUUUUAGUGUUUGCCUUCUCUUAUGAGAAACAGAGAAGGCCAAUCUUUCCUUGUUUAAGAGGAUUUAGAAUGCUUUAGUAGAUAAUUUUUAGCAGGUUGGCUUUUGCCAAUUUGUUAAAUCUAUCUUCAAACUUGAGGCUCUUCAGUUGGAAUGUUGUUGGAGUUUGAGUAGUGUAGAUAUCGUAGUUGUCAAUAUUUGAACGUUGAUACUUUAAAGUUUAAACUAUGCAAGAUGCAGGCCUAGUCAGUUGAAAAUCUUCUUUAUUGUGUUUGUAUUGUUUUUGUUUUUCUCCCCCCUACAGUUAUGGCUGGCAAACUCUGGUUCUUGAUCAUAGCUGAUCUUAAAUUUGUUUGUAAUGUGUCUAUUCAUCAGUUGAUAAGAUUCUCUUUGCAAUCAUUCAGAAAGGAUUUUUCAACUGUUUUUCAUUAGGUUGUUCAGAAAAUAAACAUGAACGUGACAAAGAAAGAUGCCUAAUCUAAUAAUCUUUCCUGUGCGACACCCAUUUUUGUUAUUUUAAAUAUGGUAUCCUUUGAAAUUCUUUUUGUUUGUUUAUUUUCAUUUUCCCUUUACCGUCUUGUUUUAAGUACGGAUAGUGAAAGAUCUAUUGUAUGAAGAUCCUUUGAGUAUAUCUGUUGACAUGUUUUUUGUGGUAGUAGUGUUUGGGAAAAGACCUCGAUUAGUAAUAAACUUUGCUUUGGUCUUCAUGAUAUUCAGCUGCAAUUGCUUUCAAUGGUAACGCAACUCAGAUCAUCAACAUCAGAUCAUCAACAUCCUUUUAUUAUUAAUGGUACUGCUAGCCAUGUUCUUUCUCCAUGGACUGUAGUUUUCAUUUUGGAUUUGUUGUAAUGGUGGUGAAAAGACAGUUUUGAGCUCCGGCUCGGCUCUACUUGGUUUUCUGAGCGGAAUUGCACUAACUUUUAACUGUCUAAUAUGCAUAUCAUUUUAGUUCCUUAGGUCUCUAAUAUUCUCUUAUAAGAAAUGUCUUUGUAUUUAUAUUCUUCACAGUAGCAUAAUGUGGUAAUGAUGUUUGCUGGAAUGCUCUGUUUCCACUUAAGAUCUGAUCAUAAGGGUUUUACGAAAAAUGAAAUAUGGAGAUUGUUGGAAGAUUUGUUAUGUUUUGUUUGCUUUUGAGUUUUUGGUUUUAGUUUGAUUUUGGGUAUGCCAGGGAAUGAUGGUAUAUGAAAAGGACUGAAAUUUUCUGCUAUUUUAUUUAUUUAUUUACUGAUUCAAUUGUCUGUUUAUUCACUGUUCGCUGAAGAUUUGUAGUUACAUUUGCUUGAGAAGUGACUACUUUCAGCUUGAGAAGCUUUUGGUUUUAAAUUGAUUUCGGGAUUCAAAUUUUAAAUUUAAAUUUUUAUAUUGGAUUAGAAUUUUAAGUUUAAAUACGAAUUUGGAAUUUAAAUAUACAUUCUGUACUUAAUUUUAAAUUUUAAUUUUGAUUUCGAUUGUACUUUUAAUUUUAAAUUCAGUUUAUAUUUAAAAUCAUUUUCUAAAUUUAAAUUUAGACUUUAAUUUGUUAUUACAAUAAUUAAUGGGACCACUAUAUUAAAUUUAUAUUUUUUAAUACACUUUUUACUGGUUUAUAAUAAUUUAAUAAAAUUCUUACCAAAAUAGCUUUGUAUAAUAAAUAGCAGUUUUGACAAAAAUAGCUAAAUGUUAUGCAUUGUUUUUUUUUUUUUUUUUUUUUUUNGGAAAAUGAGUCCUACCUCUACUUUUAGAUGUAAAAUUGAAGUUAACAUUUUUUGAAAGCUACCGACCGUCUCUAGAGUAAGUGGCAAAGGGUUUGGUGGUUGGUAUCCGAGAUCCAAGUUCGAAUCCUAGUUGAUUCACAUUUUCAGCUAAUUUUAUUUCUAAGUGAAAUAAACAAAGCGGGUAGCGUGCUAUCUAUCUCUCAAAAAAAAAAAAAAAUUUUUUUUUUGAAUUUUUUUUUUUUUUUUUCUUUUCCUCUCCUCUUAUUAUGAGCUUGUGAAACCUUUUAGACAAUGUUGGGGGCGUUUACUUUCGCACGCAUAAAAAGAAUGCUAUAUUCAUUCUAUUGGUGUGGCCCAAGCUUUCGCAUUAAAACUGACCUAAAAGCAGAAAAAAAAAGAAAAGAAAAAGAAAAAGCAAAAGAAAAAGAAAAAUAAGUGAGCAAGCAUUUAUAUGUGAGACUUGCAUUGAAACCAUUUUGCCAAAUGGAUCGUUUCGAAUGUACUUUUCUUUUCCCCCGUUAUGUGAUUGCUUAAUCACUGUAGAUUAAAACUCAACAAUGGUUGAAGGGGGAAAAGAAAUGUGUUUGAGCAACUUGUAAUUAAUAACUUCUAUAAAGAGCACCUCGGGGUGUUCGGUUCCCCAAAAUUGCAUAGAAAUGAAAAAUAAAAAUAAAAAUAAAUAUUUUUAGAUUUUUUUUUUUUAAAAAAAAAUCUAACUGAGCUAGAGAAUUUUAUUUGUUAGAAUGAGGCGCAAUUCAAAAACCUAAUUUUAUUUAUUUAUUCAUUAUUAUUAUUAUUAUUAUUAUUAUUGGGAAGAGUUGUUGCCACAAAUAAAACAAAAAGCAGUCAACGGUAUGGGAUGGUUCCGCGCGAGGGCCCCAACGCCCCCCCUCCAUGAAUAGCCAAACUAUCACCAAAUCUAGAGAGAGAAAAAAAACACCCUAACUAUAGAGAUUAGAGAAGAAACAACAUCUAGAGAGAGAAACAGUUAGAGAGAGAGAAGAGAGAGACCAGCGAGAGAGAGAGAGGGGUAGGAGAGGAGGUGGUGGUCCCCUCCUCUCUUCAACCCCGUCCCAAAUUAAAAAAAGUACAAUCUUUUUUUCUCUAAUAUCUAUUUUGUGUUUCCUUUUUCCUCUCUUGUCAUUUCCUUAUGAUAAUUUUUCAGGUAGUGAUUAUUUCUCUACGAGAGAAGCAGAAGUUGGCGUAGUCGGGGGCGGCGCCGCAUCAAAGAGGGUGGAGUUCUCUCUUUCGCCGGAGAAACUCCAUCCUCCCGAACGCAUAUAACUAAACCAUACAUAAAAGUACAUUCAGAUACAAAUCAUGGCGUCCUCUCCGGAUGCCGCUCCGGCCCCCAACUCCUCCUCCUCCUCCUCGUCCUCUCCACCACCACCACCACCACCACCAUCCAACUCCUCCUCGCCCCCUCCCUCUCCACCCCCACCCUCUCCUUCGCCCUCGCCUCCGCCGCCGCCCCCGCCCUCCUCCUCCUCCCCACCUCCGGCAUCGACGCCGCCUCCGUCGACCCCCUCAACUCCGCCCAAUUCAUCGAACAAGCCAUCGCCGCCGCCGAAAGCUACGCCGUCGCAAACGCCUCCCUCUCCUAGUAGUUUCAAAGAACUGCCAUUGCCAUUGCCAUCAUCGCCGCCGCCGCCGCCGCCGCCGCCAGCGCCAGCGGCUUCCAGAGCUGCUGCGUCGAAGAAGGCUGCGCCUUCGCAUGCGUCGCCGGACGACAGCGGCAGCGGCAGCGGUGGCGGCGGGGGGUCGGAGUUGAAUCUGCCGAUGAUCAUCGGGGUGGCGGCCGGGGUCGGGGUGUUCUUCAUCCUGAUGAUGGUGGUCGCGCUCGUGUGCUGCGCCAGGACGAAGAAGAAGAAGAAUGCACUGCCGCCGCAUAACCACCUGCACUACUACGAUAACUCGCAACGCAAAGGUAUUGUUAAAUAUAAAAUUAUAUAAAUACUGUUGUCUAAAGGCUUAAACUUUUAGAGUACAAUGAUUAUUUCACAUGUAUUUUAUAUAUAUAUAUAUAUAUAUAUAUAUAUUCUCUUAUCAUAUGUAGCUAGGGUGCCUUCUUUUUAAGUUUUUUUUUUCGUAAAAAUGCAAGAAAAAAAAAAUUAUAAGAGUUGAGCUCAAAAUGCGCUUAGUUUUUAGCCGUCUGAUUGUCUCGUAAUUCGUAUAAUACUAAUAAAAAAAAUUUAAUAAAAUAUAUUAUUAUUAGUGCUCUACGAAUCUUAAGGCUAAAAAUUCACAAAUACAAAUAGUCAUUUGUUUCGAAAAAAAACACAGAAGCUCAACUCAAAUUAUAAUAUACCUUCUUCUAGUUUAGCGUAUUUUUUUAUUUGCCAUCGCAUUUAACUAAUAUGUAUUUUAAUAUACUUUAAUUUGCCAUUACGUACGUGAUUAAUUAUUAGAAAAUUUUAUUUUAGUUUUACUAUAACGGCCUACCGUUUAAUAGGAUACUAUUUUAUGAUUUUUUAAAAUUUACUUUGCUAUCUUAUUUGACAAUAAUUUUUUUUUUGAUAAAACAAAAAUAAAACUAUAUUUUAAUUAAGUACAAACAUGAUAAAAUAAAAAUGCGCCAAACUAAAAAAAAUUGAAUUGUAAACCUAGCAUUCCUCUUUGAGAAUUAUGAUGUCAACGCACGAAACGGUUGUAUAUAUUUACAGGGAACGACUACUACCACGCCUCAUCUCUCCCUAAAUGGCAGCACAACGGAUCCCAAACCUUCGACCCCACCGGCGGCGGCGGCGCCGCCGUCCCGCUGCCGCCCCCGCCCGGCGGCGUCGGUUGGAGCCCUCACGGGCUCUCCCCGCCGCCUGGCGCAGCACAUCACUUCCACAUCAGCGACACAGGCUCAGGGCCAUACAACGACAACUCCGGCCCCCACGGCGCCCCGCUCCCGCCGCCGUCCCCGUCCGUCGCGCUCGGCUUCGUGAAGAGCACGUUCUCGUACGAGGAGCUGGCGGCGGCCACCGACGGCUUCUCGGCGGCGAAUUUGCUCGGGCAGGGCGGGUUCGGGUACGUGCACAAGGGGGUGCUGCCGAACGGGAAGGAGGUGGCGGUGAAGCAGCUGAAGUCGGGCAGCGGGCAGGGCGACAGGGAGUUCCAGGCAGAAGUAGAAAUUAUUAGUAGAGUGCACCACCGGCACCUCGUCUCGCUCGUCGGCUACUGCAUUUCGCAGACGCAGAGGAUGCUCGUCUACGAGUUCGUGCCCAACAAGACGCUCGAGCACCACCUCUACGGUAAAAUUAAUUAACCCUUCAACAACAAUUUUCUCGUUACUAACUUUUGUAGCAUAGUGGUUAAAAAUUUUACUUACUAUUUUAGAAGGUGCAAAAAAAAAUAAAAAUAAAAGCGCUUUUAAUUUUUCAUCCUUUAUUGUUAUAAUAAAACUAGUGUAGUUAAUUAUCCGAGCGAUACGACGGGCAAAUAUUAUUAAAGUCACCGUUGAUAUUGAUGAUAGUAUGAAGUUAUAUAUAUAUAUAUAUUUUGAAAAAAUGCGACAGGAAGAUGAAGGAAAAAAGAAAAAGAGGCAUAAGAAGAAAAAAUGACAGAUCUCGGAUAUAUAUAUAUAUAUAUAUAAAAUUCUAUAUGAGUCCGGCUACUAUACUAUUGAUAGUAUCAAGUCCUUGAUACUAUUAAGUUUUCUGCCGUUAGAUCUACCCUUUGAUCAUUUUCACCCGUUAGAUUAUACUAUUAAACCAACCACCCACUCAACCCUAGGGGACCACUAUCAAUUUAACCGGGAACUACUAUCAUCCUAACCGCACAUCUUUUCAUCCAACGGCCGAAAACUCAAUAAUAUCAAGGGCUUGGUACUAUUGAUAGUAUAGUAGCAUAUAUAUAUAUAUAUAUAUANNNNNNNNNNNNNNNNNNNCUGAGCUAGGCUGGUAUACUAUCGGUAGCACGGUGGCCUCCGUGCUACCAAGUUGUUUUCAAUGAUGCCGCUUCCAAAUCGACGAUCGGCUCCGUUAGACUUGAUCUACACUACUGAAAGUAUUUGAAAACUAAAUUUCAUAAUUUUUCGGCAUUAUUUACCUAUCAAACGAGUAGUCUAAAAAUGAACGGCUAAAAAACAAAAUUUCCUAAAAAAUGAUGAUAAAAGACUUGAAUUUAAGAUCAGAAGUACUGAUUUUACUCUAAAUAGUGAAAAGAAUUUUCUAUAAAAAUUUCAUCAGGUUUGGAUUAUUUUACACCGUUAAAUUCACAAGUGCAUCACAUCUACCAUUAAAAUUAUUAAUUUUGAGACCUUUUGAUCACUUGCCAAAUGAUGUCAAAAAAUUAUGAAAUUUAGUUUCCAAAUAUUUUUAAUAGUGUAGAUCAAGCCUAACGGAGCCGAUCGUCGAUUUGGAAGCCGCAUCAUUGAAAACAACUUGAUAGCACGGAGGUCUCCGUGCUACCGAUAGUAUACCAGCCUAUCUCUCUCUCUCUCUCUCUCUCUAUAUAUAUAUAUAUAAAAGAAAAAAAAAAGUUGAUUGAAGGUGAGCGGCCUCUACAUUAACAUUACAAAGUGAGAUUUCAUAUAUAGAUAUAGAAGAUUAUUAUUAUAUAUUAAUUUUCUCGUGAUUUUUGUUAUCAUAAUUUUAUAGUAUAAAAUAUGAAAAGAUUAAAAUUAUAUUAAAAUAUUUUGGAUAAUCUAAAAUAUAGAAAUAAUGCUUUUAGCUAUCACAUUAUCAAACUAGCUAGACCUUACUGAUACUGAUGACACGCUUGACACGACAAUAGAAUAGCUACAUAUAUUGUUUUGAGCUGACAUUAGAUUAUCGGGAUAUAUUUGCGGGAUCGCAGAGAAUCUACAAAGCAAUCUCUAAUUAUUUAUAAUAUUGUAUCCUUCAAAAUAGGCUCUUAUAUUAGCAUUAUAAUAAAGAAUAAUAAGAUGUUACAAUAUUAUAAACCACUUAAUUAGCUAGGCUUAGUAUAGCACUUCAUCAAUUCAUUAUUUUUUUUUCCACUUUAUUAUUCUAUAUAUAUAGUUUAUUUAUUAUUGUGUUCAUUAAAAAAAUGCACAGGAAAGGGUCUCCCAGUGCUGGACUGGCCAACACGACUCCGGAUCGCAUUGGGAUCUGCCAAAGGGCUUGCUUACUUGCAUGAAGACUGUGAGACCUCUUCAUUAACUCUAAUUCUUUAAAUUAAACCUUCUUUUUUUUCGCCUCGUAUAUUUAUUUAUAGGCUAAAUUACAGAUAAUCUCCUUAUAAAUAAGUACGUGAGAUAUAAUUAUUAGAUGCUUUGUUUCUUUUUCUUUUUCUUUUUUUUUUUGAGAGAGAUAGGUAGCACGCUACCCGCUCCGUUUGUUUCAUUUAGAAAUAAACUUAGCUAGAAAUGUGAAUCAACUGGGAUUCGAACUUGGGUCUCAGGUACCAACCAAGUCCUUUGCCAGUUGCUCUAGGGACGGUCGGUUAUUAGAUGCUUAUUUUAAUGACGAGCAUGCUGAUGAUGUAAUUUUAUUUAGUGCUAUUUGUAUAUAGCUCUCUAUAAGCAUAUCGAAUAGCAGAUAUAUUUAUAUAAAGUUCAACUUUUUAUUUUUAUCUCUAGAAAAGUCCUAGUGUUUUUUCAAAUAUACUCUUAACUGUUAGGAUCCGUUAGAAAAGUAUAGUUAGUCAUAGAUAAAAUACUUAAUUCUGAUUAGUGAAUGAGAUAAAUAAUUUUUUUUUUUUCUAUUAUAGAAACUAAGAAGAUAAUUUUUUAGAGGAUAUUUUUGCAUAUUCUAAUAGUUGGAAAUUUUAGAGGUACAUAUCUGUGAUGAGAAAAAUAUCAUUUUACUAAUCUGCUACUCUAACGUACGUUAGCAAAUCAUAGGGCACAAAUAUGAAUAUCACUGUAUUUUUGUAGGAACAAAAAUAAAAAAUGAAACUUUGUGUAGGAAUUUAUUUAUUAUUCGAUAUGUUUACAGGAAGCUAUAUACAAUUAGCCUCUUUAAUUUAAUAUUAAUUUCUUAUGUUAAAUAAUUUGAUUCGGUCUUUGGACGUUUCGGGUAGGGAUUUUUAGCUUUUUUUUUUUUAUUCUAAGUUUCGAAUUUUUAUUCGGGUUCAGUUUCGGAUUAUACAAAAAUCCAUAAUAUGUGCUACAUUAUUUGUUCCUUUACUGUAUCUAAUAAUAAUCUAAUUAAUAAUUCUUUAAUUUUCAUUGAAGGUCACCCUCGAAUCAUUCAUCGCGACAUCAAAACCGCCAAUAUUCUUCUUGAUAAUAAAUUCGAGGCUAUGGUACAAAAAAAUUUUAUUGAUCAAUUUAUGCAUAAAAAAAUAAAUACAAUGAAUUAAAAUUAAAUUUAUGUAGUUUUUUUUAAUUUAUAUAUAUGUAUUUGAAAUUGCUAUUUCAGGUUGCUGAUUUUGGAUUGGCCAAGUUAUCUUCUGACACCAACACCCACGUUUCGACACGUGUGAUGGGAACAUUCGGGUAAUUUUAUAUUAGUUUUUUUAAAAAAAUAUAAAAUUUAUCUGAACUGUAGCGCAUUUUUCAUAAAAUUUUAUACCGUAAUUUUAACUUUUUUAUAGAAAUAUUUUGGCAUCUCCCAAAGAUAAUGAAUGGUAAAAACAUUGCAAACUUAUUUGAACCAUAUAUUAUUUGAAUUGACUAUUUAACUUUUUUUUAUUUUUGAUUUUACCAUGUAGCCCUUCAAUUUAUUUGAUUUAAAUUACUCAUCAGUACUUCUUUAACUUUAAAAUUUAAGUUAAUUUUUUAUUUUUAAUAAAAUUAUUCUAAUUAUACCUGUAAAGAUAAAUAUCGUAUUUCAGUUUUAAAGUCAAAGCACUAUUGACUAAUUCAAAUCAAAUAAAUUGAAAGAUUAUAUAGUAAAUUAAAAUUUUGAAAAAUUGAAUAGUCAAUUCAAAAUGAUCCAUAGUUCGGAUAAGUUUUAUAUACGUUUGUACUUAUAAUGGGAUAAAGUUUAAUUCUUUUAGGUUUAGAUAUGAAUUUUUAAAAUCUGUCGGAUCCGGGUUAGGGUUCGGGUUUUGGGUUUGGAGUCGGUUUGGAUUCGGGUUUUUGAAAAUUCGCCCCGAAUCCGACCCAUUGACAUCCCUACUCUUGAUCUAGUGUAAUUAUAUGUACAUAUAUACUUAUUCUGAUCAUAUAUAGAUUCUGAUCAUAUAUAGAUACUUGGCUCCUGAGUACGCGUCGAGCGGCAAGUUAACAGAGAAAUCCGAUGUCUUCUCGUUCGGAGUGAUGCUCCUCGAGCUCAUAACCGGGCGGCGGCCCGUCGACAACACUCAAACCUUCAUGGAGGAUAGCUUGGUUGAUUGGGUGAGUACCGCGACUGUUCUUGCUUAUUUCGAUAUCUCGGAUUCAAAAGUGUUGCGAAAAAAAGCUCAUUGGUUUGCAAUUCAAUCGAGUUCGGCUCAGUUUUACUUCUGUUCGAGUUCUCGAGCUGGGUUCAGCUCGCUCGAGCUCAGCUUUAACCAUUUUUUGAUAUUAAUCAAUUACUUUACUUGGCUCAAAAGUGUGGUGAGCCCAGAUCGAGCUUAUUUACGAAACUCGAACUCGAGUCAAGCUCGAUCUAAGCGUAAUUUAAGUAGCUCGAGCUCACGAAUUUUGUUCAUCUUACAAUUGAACUCGAUGGAUCUAGGCGAGGCCUCUUAUGAUCCGCGCGCUGACUGAGAACAACUUUGAAGAGCUGGUCGACCCGCGACUGGAGAAGAACUACGACCCGACGGAGAUGCAACACAUGAUCGCGAGUGCCGCUGCUUGCGUUCGCCAUUCCGCUCGACGGCGCCCUAAAAUGAGCCAGGUACAUGGAUGAAACAUUCUCCAAAGCUUAUUCUAACAUCUUAUUAUUAAAUUGGAUUAAUUUCAUACAUGUCCCUAUAAAUAUAAUGAAUUGCAAACAUAUUUUUAUAAAUUUUAACUUUCUUAUGUUGUUCCUACAAAAGUCCUAAUAUUUUUAAAUAUGUCCAUGCCGUUAGAAUCCGUUAGAAAACUUAGUUAAUCAUAGGUUACAUGCUUAACCCUGAUUAGUUUAUGAGAUAAUUUGAUAAUUUGAUAAUUUUGGAGGGACAUAUUUGAAAAGAGAUAUAAAAACAUCAGAACUUUUGUAUGGACCACAUGUGAAAGUUGAAUUUUGUAGGGAUAUAUUUGUAAUUCACUAUAUUUGUAGGGACCUAUACGCAUUUAACCCUAUUAUAUUUAUGUCCUACUCUAAUUGUUUCAAAGCUAAAAAAAAAGAGUAGUUUUUGAUAAUUUUGAGGGGUAUAUUACAAGCCAAAUUUUAAAAAGAGGGGUUAUCAAUCUUUUGUGCAAAUUUCAAUUUGACACUUAAUUAACCUAUGAAUUUUUAUAACUGAGCAUCUAUAUGUGAUUUGGAUGUUGUUGUAAUCUUAGGCCCCGUUUGGUUGGGGGGAUAAGCGGGGAUAACAAACGUUAUCCUCGUUAUUCCGCCAAACGGGGUGAAAUUUGGCCGGGAUAUUUUAUCCCGGUCAAACCUUGCUAUUCCCGGUUAUCCCGGAAUAGCAAGGGAUUUGCUAUUCCACCAUUUUGGUAGAAUAGCACUAUUCCAAUGCUUAAUUUCAAACUUAAUUAAAAUUAUAAAUUGAAUUAAAACUAAAUUAUAUAAAUAUAAUAUGUUAUAUAUUAUAAUACAUUAUUUUUAUUAUAAAAUUAUUAAUUGUACUAUAUUAAUACAUAUUAUUUAUAUUUAAAUAUUAUAAUAAAAUUUAUAAUAAAUUAUAUUUAAAUAUUAUAAUAAAUUCUUUUUAUUAAAUUUAAGUUUAAGUAGAAUUUUUAAAAAAUUUAUAAAUUUAUUAUAAUAAAUAGUUUUUAUUAAUUGUUCCCACCCCUAUUCUUAUUUUAAAAUUUUAAAAAUUAAAAAUUUAAAUUUUUAAAAUUUAUAUAUUAUAAUACAUUAUUUUUAUUAUAAAAUUAUUAAUUGUACUAUAUUAAUAAUUAUUAUUUAUAUUUAAAUAUUAUAAUAAAAUUUAUAGUAAAUUAUAUUUAAAUAUUAUAAUAAAUUCUUUUUAUUAAAUUUAAGUUUAAGUAGAAUUUUAAAAAAAUUUAUAAAUUUAUUAUAAUAAAUUAUUUUUAUUAAUUGUUCCCACCCCUAUUCUUAUUUUAAAAUUUUAAAAAUUAAAAAUUUAAAUUUUUAAAAUUUAUAAUUUAUAAUCUCAAAAUUAAAGUUUAUAAUUUUAAAUUUUAAAUUUUAUAUUUAAGUUUUGAUAUUUUAAUUUGAAAUUUAAAAUUUGAUAUUUUAUAUUUUUCAAAUUUAAAUUUGAUCUUAAAUUUAAAGUUUGAAAUUUAAAAUUUAAAAUUUUGAAUUUAAAAUUUGAGAUUUUAAAUUUCAAAAUUUAAAAUUUCAAAGUUAAAAUUUUAAAUUUAAAAAUAUAUAUUUAAAAAUUUAAAAAUUUAAAUUUAAAUAUAAUAAGAGGAUAAUAUGAUUAUUUUUUAUUUAUAAAAUCUACUAUCUUUUUUAUUAAAUUCCUCCAUUGAAAUCAAAACAGAUGUCUACAUAAAUUGACACAUAUAUGAGCAUUUUGAUCCUAUUAAAGCUUUGGGGGUUUUAUUUAUAUACCCCAUACUACUAUUAAAAGUUUUCAAAUUACUCUUUAUUGCCCAACAUAUUCUUCUAAAAUUCAAUCCUAUUAGUAAACCCUAGGAAAAAAAAAAUAUUUAAGAGAAUUUUUUAAAAUCAGUAAAGAUAUUAUGGUCAUUCAGAAAUAAAUAAGAUACAUUUUUUAAGUUUUGAAAAAUAUAUUACAUAUUAUCACUAAAAUUUUUGUAGAAACGUUUUUUGAGUAGAGUUAAAGGAGAAGUAUUAGCAACUUUUUUAUUAGCUUCAAAAUAAUUUCUCUCCAAUGUUCCUAUUUUCAACUUUUUGUGAUUGUACAUUUUUUAUUAUCCAAAUUCUACAAUAGGAAAUAGUGCUGUUAAAAAAGUACUACAUAAAAUAGUGGGGUACUAAAAAAAGCUGUAGAGUAUUUGACUAAUUUUAUUAUAAAAUUCUAUGUAGAAGUUGUUUGGUAAAAACUCAACUAAAUUAUUGUAAAAUAAUAUAAAGAGUUUUAGAAAAAUAUGAAUUUAAUUAAACCGCCCCGUUAUUUUUUACCUUCUUAAUUUUUUGUCUCAAAAUUUAAAAGAAUUGGUCUAAAUUAACAAUUUUAUUACAAUUUUAAAAAAUUCUAUAAAAGUUAUUAUUCUUAAUCACUCGUUAGCAAAUAAACUUGUGAUAAUUAAUGGCCAACAUUUAAUAAAAUUAUUAUAUUCAAUAAUAAUUUCUCUUUAAUUAACUAUAUAAUUCAAAUAAAAAAAUAAAGAUUCAAGAGAUGUCAAUUAAAAAACUAAAGAUAAGAACUAAAUUUAAUAAAAGUACAUAUAUAUAUAUAUAUAUAUAUAUAUAUAUAUAUAUAUAGAGAGAGAGAGAGAGAGAGAGAGAGAGAGAGAGAGAGAGAACACAAUAUGCAUAUAGAAUAGGGAUGUCAAUGGGUUGGAAUUCGAAAUUUAUUCGAAUCUGAACCCGAAUGAAACGGAUAUAUUCGAUGCUAAAUGAAUAUGGAUUCGGAUAUGGAUAUAAAAAUAAAACCCGACGGAUAUGGAUUCGGAUAUGGGUUUGACUGUACCCGAUCCCAACCCGAACGGACCCGAACCGAAUUUAUUUGUAUUAUAUAAAAUAUAUAUAUAAAAUUUGAUGUUUUGUUUGAACUUGUAUUUUAAAAUUUAGAUUUAAUAUAUAUAUUUUGAAAUAUUGAAAAAAUAAAUAAUUGUUUCGGGUUUCAAAUUUUCGGUUUGGUUCGGGUUUCGGAUUUUGGCCAGGUUCUGAUUUGGAUACGAAUUUUUAAAACCGUCGGCUGGCUCGAUUCGGGUUGCGGUCUCGGGUUUGGAGUCGGGUUCGGUCGGGUUCGGAUUUUUAAAAAUCCGCCCCGAAUCCGACCCAUUGACAUCUCCUAAUAUAGAACGCUAGGGACUGUUGGCUUGCACGUAGUUGCACUGUAUUACAGUUGUAACUGUAUAUAAUACAAAUUCAUUAUUGAUUUGAUGUAUUUAACUUCAACUCCAGCAUUAGAACUGUAGGAGGAGGUCCAAUUGCAGCAGUUGAAACUACGCCCAAAUUGCCGCAGUUCCAACUGUAGCAGUUGGAAAGAGUAACUUUAAAUAAAAGAUAUGUUUACCUUCUUAAUAUUUUUUUAAACAACUUUUUUUUUUUUUUUUUUUACAUUGGAGAAUCACACCAUCACAUACAUAAAAUGAUAAAAUUUUAAAAGUUAUUUCUCAACUACAUUUAACAAAUAAAUUAUUUAUAGUUCCAGCACUUUCUACUAUAUACCAACCAAACAAGAUGCAUAUAGUUCAACUGCUAUAUUUCAACUGCAUAUAUUUUGAAUUAUACUGUGUUGGUGUAAAUAUUCAAAAAAUAAGAUGUUAGUUUACAAAAUAAUUUAAAAAAUAUCAACGAGUCGAUCAAGCCGAGGCACGGAUAUCUCGCUCUCUUUAAGGAGAUUCAAGCCCUCUGCGGUUGGCAAAGCCUUUGAACCGAUACAGCAGAGCACCGACUUGUCCCCUCCAGAAUACAACGGCUCGACCCUCAUCGUGUGGCUUCACCAACUCUGCACAAGUAGAUGAGCCCAAAGCUCUACCAAAAGAAACACCUUUUUUUGACCUUCUCUCUCUCAAGUAGAAUAUAGAUAUUGUAGUUUUUUUUUUUAUGUUAUGUGGAAGUGAAUAGAGAAGCCUCUAUAUAUAGGUUUCAAAAGUAUAGGUUACAAAAGUAUCAAACCCAUAGGUUACAUAGUUAGUGCUAUAGGAGUUUACAUACGUAAAUGAACUUAAUUAUGUUCACCUUAUUGAAGUAGGUUCACAUAUAAGUUCACAAUGAAUGCAAACUAAAUGAAGUGGUAAAUUCACAUGCAUAACUAUAAAUGCAAGUAUAGGUUAUGCAAAGGUUAAUAAAAUUUAUAUUAAUAAUAAAAUGUAACAACAUACUGUAUUUAUAAUUAUAUCAAACUAAACCGCCCUUAAGUUGCAGUUUGUUAUAGCCAUAUUUUGAGUUACCAAACAGUCCAAAAAAGCACGUUCACCUAAAACCGGAACCAAACGGAUACUGUAACAUUUGCCGCAUGAGCUAGACCAAAUAUGACAAAGCACAAAGAUUAGAAAGUUAAAUCUAGAAAUAUGGCAUUAAAACCUAGUAACUAUGGUGCAUUUUUUUUGAGAUAGUAUCUAAUUAUAUAUCUUUCUAAACUUCAAAAAUAAUUUAUUUAUUCUCGAAAGACAAAAAUAACCUUAUUGAUUUUCAAAAAAUUCUAUUUUUCAUAGGAUUUACUAAUGGGAUUGGUUUUACAAAGAUAUUUUGAUAAUUUCAAAAUAAAUUUGAAAAUUUUGAAUAGUAAUAAUGGGUAGAUAAGCAAACCUUUUUUUUUUUUUUUCGAACAAUUAUCUUUUAACAGGUCGUUCGCUCACUGGAGGGCGACAUUUCGUUGGAGGACUUGAACGAGGGGGUGAAGCCAGGCCAGAGCUCGUUCUUCGGCUCGAGCUCGGACUUCGACUCGAGCUCGUACAGCUCCAACAUGCGCCAGUUCCGCCGCAUCGCCCUCGGCAGCGGUGAGUUCAGUAACGAGUACAGCGGCCCCACCAGCGAGUACGGCCUCAAUCCAUCGGAAUCCAGCUCCUCUUCUGGUGAGAUCAACACCAAAUCCACCGCCACCGGAGUUAGCCGACGGCAUUAGAAAGUAACCAAUGUUUUGAAAUCCAAAUUGGAAACUUUGAAUCGUGAAAUCUGAUCAGGUUCAUUUUCGGUUCGGUUUCAAAUUUUAACACUGUCGUGAAAGACUUAUCUACCGCUCUUUGAAGAAAACAAAGGCCUACAGCUCUAUAUACAGCUCAGUUGGUGUACUAUUAAUAGUAUAUGAGUAGUAUAUUUUUACAGAGUUUUUAACCUAUUUGACUCGUGCUCUUCUGGCGAGAUCAACACCGAAUCCACCGCCGCCACCGGAGGAAGCGGGCGACAUUAGAAAGUACCCAAUGUUUUGAAAGCCAAAUUGGAAAACUUUGAAUCAUGAUUUUCAAGUUCAUUUUUGGUUCGAUUUCAAAUUUUAACACUGUCGCGAAGGACUUAUCUACCACUUUCUGAAGAAAACAAAGGCCUACAACUCAGCUGGUGCAUUAUUAAUAGUAUGUGAAUAGUGCACACUAUAGACUUUUAACUUAUUUGACUCUAUCGACGUCCCUAAAGCAAGUGGCAAAAGGACUUGGUGGUUGGUAUCCGAGACUUAAGUUCGAAUCCUAACUGAUUCACAUUUCUAGUUAAGUUUAUUUCUAAAUAAAAUAAACGAAGCGGGUAGCGUGCUACCUAUCUCUUAAAAAAAAAAAAAACUUAUUUGACUCCAGCUCCUCCUCUAGCGAGAUGAACACUAAAACCACCGCCGCCGCCGGAGGAAGCUGACGACAUUAGAAAGUAACCAAUGUUUUGAAAGCCAAAUUGGAAAACUUUUAAUCAUGAUAUUUUGAGUUUAUUUUCAAUUUCAUUUCAAAUUUUAACACGGUCGUGAAGGACUAAUCUACCACUAUUUGAAAAAAACAAAGCCCUAUAACUCUAUAUUGAAUUCACUUGUUGGAGUAUUAUUAGACUAAAAUACGAAAAAAAAUUGUUAGUAUCUUUUUUUUUUUUUUUUUUUUUUUUUUCUUUCUGUCUUUUAAAAAGCUAUAUUUUAUCACAUCAAAAUUUUAAAUUGAUACACUUAGCCCCCCUCUUAGGAUUUUAUCAUGGUUUUGUUUAUUUCAUAUAAUUUAUACCAAAAUGUCUCUUAUAAUAACACGAAUACAUUUAUUUCUUUUUUCUAAAAUAAGUAUAAGUGCAAUUACACCAUUUCACCUCUUCAUUAACGUUAUAAGCCUUAAAAAUUUUGCAAAUUUGAAGGGAUAAAAUAUACAUUACAACAGAAUUAGGUUAUAGCGACACAUGUUUGGGACACUUUUGUCUAAGUGUUCCAUUUAUGUCAAAAUUUUAAAAAAACAUCUACUAAUUCCUAAAUAUAAAGCCGAAUUCAAUAAAAAAUAAAAGUUUACUAUACUCAACCCAUCCAACCUAGCCCAUUUGGCCCGAUUCCAAACAGAAAGGAAAAAAAAAAAAAAAAAAAAUCGAUUAACAUUUUCGCUUCUCCCCUCACUGAAUCUACUGAAAUCCUAGACAAAGGGCCCUUCCCUCUCGUCCUCCUCCGCCACCGCAGCCAAUGAGGUAGAGUUUCGGCGGUUGCUAGAUACUUAAAUAAGUGUUGUUAAAUUAGCAUUACUUUUUUAGGUUAUAGCGACACUCUUUAACCGUCGCUAUAUACCUAGCGAUCCCACAUAUAGCAACACUCUUUAAAAGUGUCGGUAAUUUAGCUAGUAGCACUGUUUUUGACCUAUACCGAUAUUUAAAAGUGUCGCUAUAAACCGUUUUUGUUGUAGUGAAUUAAGGUUUUCAAAAGUUAGUGUAAAAAGUGAAAAAUUAGAUAUUCGUAGAAGGAUUUUCUAUAAUUUUAGUGGUGUUGCUAAUAGUAUAUAAAUAGUAUAUAGUAUUGACAUUUUAGCCAUUAGAUGCUAGAAUUUAUCCUUUAGUACCCUUCAGUAGUAAGUAUCCAACGGUUAAAAAAUUCGAUAGCAUACACUAACGUAACACCUGAAUAGUCCCAUAUCAGAUGGGAACGAAAUUGUAAUUGGAUAUGAACACUAAUAAUCAUAAUCGAGCUUAAACAUUUUGCAUUGCUGGUUUUUACCCAAUGGGUUAUUAUUGUUAGCAUGCCGAAUCGUUAUAUUUGGUAUUAGAGGCGGUUCACCAGUCGACAGUGUGAAAUGAGUUUCAGCUGAGUUAGGGUUAGAAUGACAAGUUAAACCAAAGUCUGAAAAUGAUAGACUAAGUCAGGAUCAUAAUAACAAGACUAGUGAGAUAAGUCUCACAUCGCCUUACUGUGUGUGAUUGGGCUGAUGAGGAUAUCAGGGUCAAAAUGGAGGAGUCUGUAAUAUCUUGAUAAUCCCAUAUUAGAUAGGAACGGAGUUAUAAUUGAUAUAAGUGACCAUGGGCAAUAGUAAUCAUAAACAAGCUUAAACAUUUUGGGCUGGAGAAUUUGGAACCAACUUCUUAAAUCUAGUGGGUCGGAUCGUUACAACUAUUCACCUACUACUAAUAGUAUCCUAGCUGCACUAUAUAAUAUAUAAGAUAAUUAACUAACACUUAAUAUAAAAAUUAUGUAACUCUGAAAAUUUUUUAUUUAUUAUCUGCGGGGUAAGACAAAAGCUGGAAGGUGGUGUUUGUAGUAUAUAUUGUCUAUUUUAUUUUAAGAAUUUUAUUUUAUUUCUUGUAUAUAAUAAGAUCUAGAGUAGUAGUAUUGAUUUUUUUUUUUUCUUUUAUAGGGAAUUUAAACUCUAAUUUUCUAAUUCUGGUCAGUUUGUGACGUAUUAUUAAGAAAAAAGUAAACAAACGAAAAUGGUCUAUUGUUGUUUUAAUUUUUUUGGAAAAAUUGCAUGUUUGGUCUUCAAACUAUGAAUAUGGUGAUACUUUGGUCCUCAAACUUUCAUUUAUUAUAAUUUCUAAUCCGAACUUUUAGAAUAGUUGCAAUCAAAUCCCACAACUAAUUUAGUUAGCUAAAUAUUGAUAAGUUAUUAGUGUAAAAGUAAUGUUAAAGUAUUGUGAUUGAUCAUGCAAAAUAAAUUAUAAUACAUUGCAUUAUCAAGAGAAUCUUCUUCAAUAAGUGAGAGUCUCAUAUGAGAAAAAAUUAGUAAAGUGCAUGCUUUCGCACCAUCCAUAUUUCAUAUAUGCUCUUGCAAGAAGAUCAAGUGAGUAUCUGGAUUAAGAUUAAAAAAAUGCCAUUUAAAUCUUGGUGUACCUCGAUGUUAAGAAAGUAAUGGAGAGGAUCAAGAUCUUUCAUUGCAAACUGGAUGCCAAGUUCAUGAAUAACAUUAUGAAUAAGAUUAUUACUAUCAGUAAUAAUAAUAUUACCUAUAUAUAUAAGAAGAAUGGAAUUCCAUUAUGAGAAGUGUGAAUAAGAAGAGCCAUGAUAUCCCAACACUAGUAGAUAUCCUGUGAAGCCCCAAACUAAGCAUGAGGUACUUAUUUUAACCUAUAAAUCCAUUUAUAGAGUUUACAAAUAUGAGUUAGAGUAAGAGGAUCAAUAAAAUCUAGAGGUUGUUGCAUAUAUACUUUUCCCCGUAAAAUGCCAUGCAACGAGGCAUUGUGGACAUCUAGUUAAUGAAUAGGCCAUCCAAAAUGAACAGCAAUAGCCAACACAAUUCAAAUCAUGGAAGGCUUUGGCAACAAAAUUAGAGGUUUCACUGUAAUCAAGUGCAGGUUGUUGAUGAUAACCUUUGGCUACCAAACGAGCGUUAUAUCUUUCAAGAUUAUGUCAUUCGAGAACCCAACGAUAACCAACAACAUUCAUACUAGGAAUAAAGAGGAUAGAAGACCAUAUCCAGCAUUUUUAUAGUGCAUUAACUUUGGCAAGCAUUGUAUUUCUUCACUUAAUACAUUUUUAGGCUUGACUAUAACAAGUUGGCUCGAUGUCUACAAAUAUUGUAUCAAAUUGAAAUGUAAUAUCUAUUUUUCUAAGUACGAGAGUAGAAUUUGAUCACAUCAAAAAUUAAUUUACCUGUGAGACCCCAGAUAGUUUUAUAUAUGAGAUAUAAUAGGGCUAAAACUCCUAACCCGGCUUAAGUAUUUUGGGUGGUGGCAAGGCCCAAUAGGUUAAGAGAGUUAAGCGUGCUAGGACGGAGUAGUCCUAGGAUGGGUGACCCUCUGGGAAGUUGGAGCGUCACAUUACCUCUAAAGAACUAGAAAGGUCUAAUUAAUUAAAGCUUUAAAUUAAUACUAUACAUAAUAUAUUAUUAUAUAUCGUUAAUUCCUUAGUCCUUACAAAGGUAAAUGUCUGUAACUAAAUAUUUUGUUAGUUGGUAAUGAUAACAAAUGAACCGAGCUUUUGGGUCGGGUUCGUGCGGGGCUUGGAUGUGUCCAAAUAGGCCCAAAACUUUUCAGGUCUAAAUUUUUAAACUCGACCCAAAUCCAAAUUAUCAUUUAUUUACAUACUCAUAGUCUAGCUUAUACAUGAAUUGGCCAUUGUUUAGGCCCAGGCUCAGUUCCACUCCUACUUUCAUUACAUUUGUAAAAUAGGUUGAAAUAUAAGCAAAGUUAAAAAAAAAAAAAUUCCUCUGAGAGAAAAAGAUGCCCUCUAUGAAAGGAAUAGUUUUUGAAGAAAUAAUUAUAUUUAAUUGCAUAGAGUUGCGAAUUUAUUCCAAAGUAAUUAUGUUAUCACAUAUAUUUUUGUAAAGUUUCAUCAAAUAUAUGCCUCUCUGGUAACAAACGACUAUAGUUGAGUUUUUUCUUUCUAAAGUGACCAUCUAACCUUCAAUGAAUAUCUUUUAAAGCACAUGCAAAUGCAAAUUUAUUUUUCAUCUUUGAUAUUUUUGAACUAAUAUUCUUAUAAUAUUUUGUAUCAUUCUACGUGAAGGGCUUGUUUAUUUGCCUAUAAUAAAUUUUUUAGUAAAAAAUGACUGCCAGUUGACCGCAGGCAUGUUCAGAUAAUUUUUUUUUUUCCAUCGCUAUUUUUGAUAAGAAGUUAAUAAUUUUGGAACUCUAGUUCCUUUUAUUAAAUUUUAUUUUAUAAAAGCUUUUCACACUAUUACAUAAGAGGAUGAAGAAUAAAUACACUAGUUAAUUUAUUUUUUAUUUUAUUCUAUCUCUUACUCUCAUGUAAUUGACUUACCAACAACCUAGAGCGAAGUUAAUUGCAGCAAAUAAAUUUACCUUACGACGAAUCAGGCAACUCAAGAAAGCUUUUAUAGUUGAAAAUAACUUUACUACUCUCUACUUUCGGUAAAACAAGCAUGCUCGAACCAUAAAUUAUUAAUUUUACAAAUUUUUUUAAAACUAACUAUAGUUUAGAAGAAAAAAAUGGUUACAACAAUACAAAAUUAACAGCCAACUAACGACAGCCAAUAUGCAAAGAUAAAUUUAUAUAUUUUAAAGCUUUAAAAAGAAUAUUCGAUAAUUCAAACUUCAUAAAAAUAUAUAUAUGCAGCUUUUUUGCAACAUUAAUAUGAAAUCGGCUCCGGGGGAGUGUUUGGUUCCUUAAAAGAUCAUGAAAACUAUUUUCAAAAAAAGAUCUUAAAAAAUGUCCGUUCCAUCAUUUUAAUUAUUCAGUUUAAUAAUUUUUUUAAAAAAAUAAAUCUUUUUAUUAAGAGCCAUAUUGUCACGCCCCAGAUUACACUUUCCCCGGGCGCGCCGACAAAUCCGCUGUGUACAAAAAAAUUUCCCCUGUAUACGAAGCGAUAGCUGUACCUGUAAAACAAACACUACUACGAACAGUAGUAGAGAGCUGCUAGAGAAAGCAGAAGCUAAACAAACUGAGUUUCAUGUACAUAGUCCAAAUCCAAAAUACAAAGCUACUCGCACUGGCGAGUUAAAUCUACUAUGUACAUAAACUCGAAACAAAACAUCUACCUGCAGUAGGGGCACCUCUAGCUCAGCACGUCAGGUAGGGCUCUAACUCGCGACGCCCUUGCCUCGAUCCUGAUCCGCGGACGGUGCAGCAGCAGGAACCUGUGGCUCUGCAAAAACAUAGGUAACAACUGGGCGUGAGAACUACUGUAAAAACAAGUAGUCCUCAGUGGGUACCGCCCAAAACAAUAUCGGUCUACCCACUAAGUCUACAGAAGGGAGCAGGAAUAGUAGUACAAUGCAGGAAUAAAGUCUACCGCUAUCAAACACUACACUAUCAUGCUCUACACUAACCAACUGUAGAAAAUAUCCAACCUGACCCAAUCCAAUCGGGAUUGUAAGCAUACCCGUCCCCGGGACUGUGAAUACACCCGUCCCUGCCCCGUUGCGACUAUCGGGCUCUAUCCACACUAACUGGUCUGUGGAGAGCAAGUCCAACUGGCAUGAGCGACACCAACGCGAAAGCACAAAGCCUGACUCCGGAGUGGCACUCGUGGGCGCUACCCAACCGAGUAUGCAGCGUAUCUCUGUCGAGCUCAAUCAGGCUUCAACUAGCCAAAGUCAAGUAAACAGGGUCAAAACAGGUCUACAAACCAAACCCACGUGCCCUCGGCACAAUCUGUGACCAAAACAAGAAUCUGGGUCCACCGCUAACCCGAACGGCACCCAACUACCCGAAACAGCCUACACUUUGCUGAAAAAUAAGCUCGGCAUCUCAGCACGAGCGUAAAUGCCUUCUAAACUACCCCAGAUAUCCAUCGCAACGAUACUGCAACGAUACAAUCGAAUCACGGCUCCUAGAGCUAAAUCUGGUAGUUUAAGCAUAUGACGGGUCAAAACGCAGGUUUUCUCCUAAGUCAAAUUUCAAGUCCAACGUGUAUAAUAUAAAUAUUCAUUUCAGCAUGCUUUUAUAUUCAUAUUACGUCCAAAAUGCUAAUCGAUGAAUUAAAGCAUGAUAUACAACAAUCGAACUAUACACGUCGACUAAACAUGCACUUAGGAGUGAAACCGAUGAUACACCCACCUCGAGAGCAAAUUCCUGGCAGCACGAAACUCCCUUGGCUGCGACACAACCUGCUGGAUCGACUGAAAAUGUCCGAGUCUCAAAAUCAAGCUAUCUCCAAGCUAUUAAUAUCAAAAUCCAC